CCAGCAGGCAAAACUGAAAUACAAGUUAAAAGUAAUAAACACCGAAAGCCCCCGUAUUCUCGCAUCUUAUGUUUGUUGGGGCAGUGAGAAGAAUUGCGAGCGAAAUACUAAUUUCCAUACCUAACUGCGUGAGAUAAUCUGCGGUUGGCAUUGUGUGUGUCUCGCAAUAAAACCCCCAAAAGCCCAAAGCUUCAAGUGUUAAAUAGAAUCAAAUAGAGAAGAAGCGUGUGUAUUUGCAUUUGGGAAAAUUAAAGUCGAAUUACGUGGGCCGAAAAAUUAAAGACUGAAGGCCAUUCAAGGGUUGUUCAAAGAGAAAAUUCGGUGAAAAGUCACGGUGUGCGUGUGUGUGCGUUGCGUGAGAAAAAUCAAUUCUGCAUUUGGUGGAAAGCCGAAAAAGGAGAGAAAAGUGGUGGAGUGAGGGAAAAAGGACACGAAGGCUGGUUUUUUGUUGGCUGCGAAAAACUCGUGACCGAUGACAAUUUGGCUUGACGAGGGUCUAUUAGCGAAAUCAAUGCCAUUAUGGCUGAUACUGGAGGACCAGGAUCCAAGCACAUGGAUCCAACAACCAUAGAUGCCGGCGGAGGAGGAGCAGGAGCAAGCGGAGCAGCCGGAGGCGAUGACGUGCCUCCAGUCCCAGCUGUUCGCCGGCCUCGUGCGCAUGAGCAGAAAUCCUCGAGAGAGCAGGUGCUGGAGGAGGAGGAGAGCCAACAGCUGGAGACAUCGACGGUGACGAGGACCUACAUGAAGACCAUCACCACCUCCCUCACCACCUCGAGUAGCUCCAAUGUGGAAGAGUUUAUCCUGGGGGAGCAUGCAGCAGGAGCAGGUGCAGCAGCUGCUCCAUCACCCAACCAGCAGAGAUUGCGUCAGAAGGUGGCGCAGUACGAGAAGGUCUGGUCGGAUGGCUCCAGUCCUGUGAAGCGUCCAGCCGAUCAGAGCUCUGACGAGCUGCGUCUGGGCGACGACCAGGAUGAGUACGAUGCCGAGAAUCCAUUCGAGAUUGACGUCCAUGAGAUUGAGCGCCGGUUGCGCCAGGAGAGGCAACGUGGCAUGGCGGAGGCGGAGGCAGCCAAGCUGGCCUUUCAGCAGGUCCAGCUGCGGCACACCACUCCGCCGCGCCGUGUGGAGGUGACCAGUGACCAGGUGGCGAGUCCCUUCAAUGUGACCCUGCGCACCACCAGUCGCAUGAGUCCCGGUGCCGAGCACGGAAAUGUGCAGGAACACCUGGCGCCGUUCAAUGUGACCCUAAGAACCACUCGCAGGACCAAGAAGAAGGAGUUCAAGGAACUGGAAAACUUCCUGGAGGGCGAACGUACCGUAAGGGAGGUUCCAUCUGCGGACGGCGUGAGGACCAUCAUCACAUCCUCGAUGACCAGCGAUGGUGGCUAUGCCGAGGAGAAGAUCUAUCGCCACGGCGAGGGCUAUGUAUCGCCCAGGGACUCGCCCUCCUGGUCACGUUCCAGUUACUCCAGCGAGCGAUCCAGUGUUACGCCGCCGAGGAGCGUGGAUCUAACCGCCGGCGGACGAAGGAUACUGAUCAAACUGGAGCAGGAAAGCGAACUAACCGAGGAUAGCCAGGCGAGGGACGAGACCGACCUGUCGUUCGGUCGGCAGGAAGUGGCCAUGGCAACCGGCAACAUUGACAUUACCGUCGGUGGUAGCAACCCCCGCCGGCGUUUGUACCAGCAAACAACUGUCCAGGUGGGUGGCGGCAACCGCACCAGCCCCCAGGAUUUAACACCCCAAAGACCAAGGGACUUAGACCUGGCCGGCGCCACGAAGACAAUGCUAACAUCCACGCCAAUUGGCACGAAGGAGCAACCGCAAACGGGUCCGAAAACUCUAGUUAGUCCAGCUGCAACGUGCCAAUUGCGCGGUUCUUCGACGGAAGAGCCCCGGAAAAUUAUAAGCCACAAAACGAUAACCAGCACAACGACCAAGUCCACCUCAUCCUCGAACUCAACCUCGAACUCCGCCACCUCCUCAUCGUCCACGUCGCGUAAAUUAAUCGAAUCAUCGCCGGUGGUCGUCGGAAAAAUCGCGCAAAUUCGCACCGGGAAAUCCAACGCCAGUGACAACGAUAUCGACAUCGAUAACGAUUCGGACACGGAGGGCAGACCCGCCAGCAGUAUAGUGAUUGUGUCCACGCCCACGCGUCCCACCACUCCGGCAACCGCAUCCGCAUCCGCAGUAACCCCAUCCGCAUCCAUAUCCGCGUCAGCUGCCCACGCCCUCAGUGGCAUCGGCACUUUCAGCAAGAGUCUGCGCCAGGAUUAUCAGACUCUGGCAACGCAAAGUGGCCGCAGCAACGAAUCACCCAGCGACCAGGAAUACCAGGAGUUCCAGUCCACCAUGGCGUCCAUCAAUUACGCCCGCAGCAAUUCCCAGUACGACAGCCAUAUCAAGGAGAAACGAGAGGAGCAAGAACGUGUGCAGAAGAAGACAUUCACUAAUUGGAUUAAUUCAUACCUAUUGAAGCGUGUUCCACCGCUUCGCAUCGAUGACUUAAUCAAUGACUUACGCGAUGGUACGAAACUAAUCGCAUUGUUGGAAGUUCUGUCCGGAGAACGUUUGCCCGUGGAGAAGGGUCGCGUUCUCAGACGUCCACAUUUCCUCAGCAAUGCCAACACGGCCCUGCAAUUUUUGGCCAGCAAACGGAUCAAGUUGGUCAAUAUCAAUCCCGCAGAUCUGGUGGAUGGGAGACCACCAGUUGUGUUGGGUUUGAUAUGGACAAUCAUCUUGUACUUCCAGCUUCGUAAAAAGAGGCGGAAAAACUUAGUAGUAGUUAUAAAUUAUGCGCCACAGAUCGAGGAGAACAGCCGCAACCUAGAGUAUUUGGGUCAUGGUAUUGGCGGUUCGGUUAGUUCCCUCGACAGUGUUGGCAACCAGAAGCACGGCGAUCUUAAGGCUGAGAAGUGGAAGCAGGGUGCCAGGAAGACCCUGCUCAACUGGGUGACCAAUGCCUUGCCAAAGGACAGUGGUGUGGAGGUGAAGGAUUUCGGCGCCAGCUGGAGAGAUGGCGUCGCUUUCCUGGCCCUCAUCGAUGCCAUCAAGGCGAACCUGGUCAACUUGGCUGAGCUGAAGAAGACCAGCAACCGUCAGCGUUUGGAGACCGCUUUCGAUGUGGCCGAAAGCAAAUUGGGCAUUGCCAAGCUCCUGGACGCUGAGGAUGUGGACGUACCCAAGCCGGACGAGAAGAGUAUCAUGACAUAUGUGGCGCAAUUUUUGCACAAGUAUCCCGAACCAAAGGGUGCUUCCCGCGACCAGUCGCAUGUGCAGCAGGAGGCGGACGAACUGCGUCGCUUCCUGGUGGAGAAGACCACUGAGUACGAGCCCAUGGUCAUGAUGAGCUCGUUCCCACGCGAUUUUGGUGAAUACUUACUGGCACGUUCUGAGGUCGAUGCACAUUUGGCGGCAUACAACCGCUUGAAACAGCUCAUUGAGAGCCAGAGCGGUUUCCUGCAGGUAUCCCGCCAAUCCUGGGAGGAGAUCAACGAGCUGUGGCAGCGCCUCCAGUACCAGAUGAUGUACUGGCUCUGGCUGCUGGAUUCGGAGCUGCCCGGCGACUUUGGCACCGUUGGCAAAUGGUUAGCCGAAGCUGAGAAAUUAUUAAUGGACAACGAUAUACCCAAUUCAAUGAAUGAGGAGACGGCCGCAGUGAUCAGCAGGAAGCUGGAGGAGCACAAGCUCUUCUUUGCCGAUUUGCCACGCAUUUUGGCCAUGUUUGACAAUGCCAAGCGGUCACCAGUGGCCCAGCAAAUACCCCUGGAGCAGUUGCGCAACAUGGAGCGUCGCCUUCAAGAGGUUGGACCCAAGGCAGCGGAGCGAAGGAUUCGUUUGAAGUUCCUGGAGCACAAGUGCUGUUUGAUUGCCUUCCUCAAUCUGGUGGAGAACAAGAUGCGCGGAUGGACUGGAAAGUAUGGGCACGAGGAGAAGGUGGCCCAGCAGCUGGAGCAGUACAAGAACUUUGUGUCGCGCAACAAGAUCUUCCAGGAGUUCCAGAAGGCCUUUGUCGAUAUGCAACAGGUGGUGGAGGAGUACAAGCGCGAUGGCAAUGUGCCGCGCAAGGAGAUCAACGACAUCGAUCGCUUCAUGUACGAAACCGAGGAGCGCUGGAAACGCGUCUCCAUGGAACUGAAGUGCUGCCAGAACUCCCUGGAGGAAGUGGUCAACUGCUGGCGCAGCUGGAACCAAUUGGCACCCACCUGCGAGGAGUGGCUGCAACUGGCUGAGCAGAAGGUCAACCAAAGCGAGGAUGAGCGCCUGGACUUCUUUCAGGAUAUACCCGUUUGGAAGGACAAGUUUGAUGCCCUCGCUAGCUCUGCUAACUAUCUGAUUGCCUCCUGCGAGGAGCCCAUUGCCCAGCAACUGCGUCAGCGACAUGGAGCUCUCUCGGAGCGAUUCGAGCGAUUGUUCGCCAACACCAAGCAGUAUAUGCAUGCUGGUGACAUUAUCCGAUCCCGACAGGAGUACAAGUCGGGCAUUGAGCAGUUGUCCAGAUGGCUGCGAGGAGCCGAAAGUGUUCUGGACCAGCGACAGGUCCUUGGCAACAGCGAACAAGUCAAGCAGUAUGGCCAGCAGCUGCAGCAAUUGGCCAGCGAAAUCGAUGACAACGAGGAGCUAUUCAAAACCAUCAGCAGGAACUUCCAAUCCCUGAUCCAAGACCUUUCACGCGAUGAAGUGGACAAGAUGAUGAAGCUACUCAAACAAGAGAAGGAAUCUCUGGUGCGCAUACGUGCCCAGUUGCCUGCCAAGCUGCAUCUGUUCCACCAGCUUCAGAUCCAACAGGAAUCCCUGGAGGCUGGACAAAAGGAGAUCCACCAGUGGCUGAGUGAGGCCGAACAGCUGCUGGGAACGCAUAACCUCUCCGGAGGCCGUGAUGCCAUCAAUGAGCAACUGCACAAGCACAAGACCUACUUCUCGCGCACUGUCUACUACCGAUCCAUGCUGGAGAGCAAGAACAAGGUGUUCCAGAACCUCCUGAAGGCUGUAUCCUCCGAUGACAAGAUCGACACCGCUCCUGCUACCCAGCAAAUGCAACAGCUGAACGAGCGCUUCAACUAUGUGAUCCAGAAUGCCCAGCAAUGGGAACAGCGCUUGGAUUCGGCAGCCGGUGGAUGGAGCAACUUCAAGGACAACGAACGUGUGGUCAGCGAAUGGCUGACCCAAGCUGAAUCCAUGUUGGUGGAGAAGCACAUCGAGUCCAAGACCACAAUCGAGACACAGAAGUACUUCUUUGAGCAGGUCAACGAUCGCUGGAUGAAUGAUCUGGUGCAGUCGGCUCAACAACUUCUGACCACAUUGCCCGCCCAGGAGCAACCUGCAGUGGUGCACAGUGUGGAGCAGUUGCAGUCCCGCUGGAAGAAUGUGCUGUCCCAGGCUCCUUUGCAUCUAUUGAAACUGGAAUUUAGACUGGAUGAGAAUGCAUUCUAUCAAUCUCUGAAGGAUGUAGAGAAGGAGUUGCAGCUGGAGCAGCAGGCCCUCAAUCGCAAUGAGGAUGUGGACUCCAUACUGCAGCGCAACCAACAGUUCCUUCUGCAACAGGAUGUCGUUCCUCGUCUGGAGCGAUGCCUCCAAAACAUGCAACGUUUGGCCCAGGCCCACAGGCAACAACAGCCCGGUGACAUUAGUCUGGAUCAGGCCUACGACAAUGCCAAGUCACAGUGGCAACUGUUGUCCAACAAAUUGGGCGAUAUGCGUCAGACUCUCCAGCAAAUCCCGGCCCAAUGGCAGGGUUAUCAUCUGAAGUUCAACGACAUGGUCGAUUGGAUGAACGGUGUGGAUCAGAGCCUUAAGAAUAUUGUGAACGAAGUUAAUACCAUGGAGGAAUUCGAAAAGGAGAAGGUCGUUUUCCAGAAAAUCUGCCAAGAUGCUGACAACAAACGCGAGGACAUGAAAUGGUUGGUCAAGACCCUGGACUCUCUGCUUAGUUACGCCACCGAGGAUGAGGCCAAUCUGGAGCAGAAGAAACUGGAGGAUCUGAUCGCCCGUUACAAGAACCUAAUCCCCACUAUUGAAAUCACGAUGGUCAAAACGGAAGUGUUCUCCAAGUGCUACACUUACCGCAGAGAAGUGCACGAAGUUGUGUGCCUGCUGAGCAAGGUCAAGGAUCAGACUGCCAAUAUACCAGCUCCCGACAGCCUGGAACGUGUGAAUCGCCUGAUUGAGGAGCAGCAGUAUGCCGUCAACCAGCUGGAUCACCAGCGUCCGCAUAUCAUGUCCAUGCUGCAAAGAGGACGUGAUCUCAUCAAGGAUGUCCAUGCGCCGGCCUUUGUGAAUGCCGAGGUCAAGAAUCUGGAGACUGGAUGGAAUCAGGCGUACACAGAAACCUCUGACAAACUGCAGGCCCUCAAGGGCACCCAGGCUGUUUGGAGCGAGUUCGUGGACCAGAAGAACGAUAUUUUCUCCAUGCUCCAAACUGCGGAGACGGAGCUGCGUUCUCUGACACCAUUGCAAACCGAUCCCAAGAACGUCAGUCAAGAUCUAAAGUCCAAGAGAGAUCUUAACGUACAACUGCAGCAGGCUUCCCAUCAACUGCUGCCCAAGUUGCAUGCUCUCAAAUCGGAACUGGCGCCUCUGGCCGCUGCCGAUAAGCGUCCCAUCCUAGAGAAGGAAGUGACCGAGGUGGAGAAGAUGUUCUUCAACACCAUGGAGCAUGUGAAGGAUCGUGUCGGUUAUCUGGAAGACUACAGUGCCAAAUGGAACAACUACAAAACCCGUCUCGCUGAACUGCAGGAAUGGGCCAACAAAGUCGCCCCCAAGAACAUUGAGGCCCUUCAAUCGGAGGACCUCACACCGGAGGAGCGUGUGGUCAAGGUGCAGGCCUUCAAGCGUAUCCUUGGGGAUCGCAUGAAGCAACUGGAUCUUCUGGCCGCCGAUGCCUCCGAGUUGGCGCCCAAGGAGGGCAACAUUGCCGAGGCCAAGCGACUGAAGGGCGAGAUCACCAAGCUGCAGGAGGUCCUCAGCGCCAUCAAUCGCAAUGUGGACCACCAGGCACAGGCCGUGCAGGAGGAUCUUGUCAACUGGCAGCAGUUCCAGGCCGGUCUGCAGCAAAUCAAGCCAGCCGUGGAGCAAAGCGAAGUCAAGGUAAAUAAUGUAGUUUCUAAGCCCAUCUCCCUCGAAGAAGCCGUUGCCAUGCAACAGAAUGCCCAACAAUUCGAGACACAGUGCCAGGAGCAAUUGGACAAGCUCCAUGGCAUAUCAAACAUCAGUCAUAAAAUGUUAUGUAAGACCAAUGCCCCCGACGAAUUGGACGCCAUGCACUCCCGUUGGACUGCCGUCCAUGAGAACGCGAAGCAGGCGAGCGCCAAGCUCGAGAAAUUGGUGGCCAAUUGGAAGUCGUUCGACGCCGAUGCCGCCAAGCUCGAGGAUUGGGUUGGACAGGGUGAGCAGCUAAUGUCCCGCCGUCCAGCUGUCCUCAACACCCCGCACAUUGACAAGCUCGAAAAGGAGCUGGUCAAGCUGAAGUCGUUCAACAACGAGAUCUCGCAGCAACAGGCCAAGCUGGUGACUCUGGGUCAAAAUGCCGAUCAAAUCAGUUUGCACUUGGCUCCUGAAGGAGCAGCCGCUUUGAAGGAUCGUGUGUACCAAAUGAAGGGCAAGCUGCAGAAGCUCUCGGAAGCCACUCGUGGUCACAUCAACGAAGUGUCUGACGCCAUUAUCUCCAGGCAGGACUUCAAUGCCAAGUUGGUGAACUUUUCCAACUGGAUGGAGCAGCUUCGCAACCAGGUCACUCAGGUGGAGGAGAUCAACCCGGAGCGGGUGGAAACCAGUCUCCAUGUCAUCCAUGCGCUGCUGCAGGAGCAUGCCGAUAAGAAGCCAAGUUUCAAUGCCAUAUAUGAUGAGGUCAAGCAAUUGGCCUUGGGAGCUACUCCCGAGGAGUCGAAUGCAUUGAAUGAUGCCUACACCGCUUUGGUGGUGAACUAUCAGAACCUCGAGACCAACAUGCUGCAAAAGAAGGCGGCUCUGGAGAAGUGGACCGAGCUGCUGGGCUGGAAGAAUGACACUGAAUCGCAUUUGAACUACCUCAAGCAUCAGCUGGACAAACCGGAAGGACCUGCUGCCGAGGAGCUGUCCAAGGUCAUUGAUGAGAUCGAUAAUCUGGGUCAGGGUAUUGGGUACUGGAAGGGUCAGGCUAAGGAGAUCGACGAAAACCCGGCCAUCCAGUUGAGGGAUGCUCUGUCUCGUCGUCCACUGAUCGCCACCCAAAUUGUGAACGAUGUUGAGAAUAAACUAGAGAAUCUAAAACUUCGCUCGCAGAACCAACAACAGCAAAUCCAACAGAUGACCGUGCGCAAGGACAAGUUCCAUGCCCUGGAGCACAACUUUGGUCAGGCACUGCAAGAAAAUCGCGCUAAACUGGAUGAGAUACUCAGACAACAUCCGACUUUAAAUAACAUCGAUCAAAUCAUCGCCGAUUUGGUCGCUCUGAAUGAUGCCCUGAAAUACCAAGCCGAUCUGAAGAAUCGCAUUCAUGAUGAGGGUUCUUUGCUGAUGCGUGAGGAUAUUGCUAGCAUGCCCGCCAUUCAGGAGAGCCUUCUUAUCAUGGAUAAGAACUACGAUUCUCUGCAGAAUGAAAUAGCUGAUCGCAUUCAGAAGUACAACCUAAUUAGUCAGGCCUUGAGAGAAUAUGCCGAUUCCAAGGACAAGUUUACCAAGGAGCUUCAGAAGGCAGAAGAUCUAUUCAAUGCUAUACCUCAACAGCCCCGUGAUGAAACCGAGCUCCAUCAAGCUUCCGAAAAGACCAGGAAGACAAUGGAGCAGUUGCGUAAGUCGAAGCUCAGCUUGGAUGAACUGGAGCGUCGGGGCAACAAUGUGGGCAAACUUUUCAGUGCCAUUGGAGAACCCAUUCCACAGGAAGUGCCACAGGAGGUCACAGCUGCCAAACAACAUUGGCAGGAUCUGCACGAUAAAACUGCCAAGAAUGCCCAUGUGUACGAGACGGAAGCCGUGAUUUGGUCACAGAUCGAAGAUGCCAAGAAGGAUCUGCUUCCCUGGUUGUCCGAAACGAAUCAGGGACUCUGCGAUGCUGCGGAUAACUCAAUCGAAAUUGAGUUUGGACCCAUGCGUCUGAGCAAGUAUCGCACAGAGUUACCUUCCUAUCAGGCACUUAAGGAUUCGAUUGUGGAGAAAACCAAUGAUUUGGUAAAGAUCAACAAAGGUGCAGAGAUUCCCGCUCUAUCUGCGCUCAAUAAACUCCUGUCUGAGCAGUUUGCUGAGGUCAGCAAUAAUGCCGAUCGUCUAAGUGCCAUAACCACCUCGUUUAAUGACCAGGAACAAGAGUUACGUAGGCGUUCGAAGGAAGCUGGCGAAAAGGUGAGCAAACUUCGUGAGCAGCUGAUCAAGUGUGAUGACAUGUCCGGUGAUAAUAACAAGAUCAUGGAGCGUCUUCUGCAAUGCCGUGCCCUGCGUGGUGAACUCGAUAAUAGUGGAAACGAAAUCGACAACAUUAAGCAAAAGGUUGACGAGCUGCGUAAUCUGUACCCCACUUUCAGUGAGUCCAUCAUACCCAAAGAACUGAACAAUGUACAAAAACGCUAUGAGAACGUCGAUCUUUAUGCUAAGAAGAUUGAAAGUUCCCUGCUGCAGUUCCUCAAGAAGUUCCACGCCGAUAAGGUGGGCAUGCUUAAGCGCAUCAUUGCCACUCAACGCGAAAAGGUGGCAUGGUGCCAGCCAGAGUCCUCCAGUGACAAAUACAAUCUGGAUGUCAAGAAGUCCUCUCUGCAGGAAGUCAGCAAGAGCAUUGAUGACUGCAAGGCACGCCAUGCCGAGACACUCAAGUCCUUGGAGAUGUUGAAGGCUGUAGAGUCGCCACAGAACCUGGCUGAACUCACCAGCGAUGCCGAGUUAUUGCGCAAGGAUAUGCAAGCUCUACAGGACAGCUUUGACAAAAUCAAGGGAAUCCUUGACGAGAACGUUGACUUAUGGUCGCAGUAUGAGCAAUCGAAUGAGCAAAUUUCCAACUGGUUGCGUGACGUUGAAGGACGCGUCAAGGCAGAAACUAGCAGCCAAGUCAAUCUAUCCGAGGUUCCUCAAAAGCUUCAGGAAUUGUCUUUACUCCAGCAGGAUGUGCUGGCCCAUGAGCCUAUUAUUAAUAACCUUGAGCAGACAUCCCAACAGCUAAUUGAAAAGAAUCCGGAGGCGAGAAUCGGCCAGUUUGUUACCCACUUGGUGCAGCGCUAUCAAGCUGUAUCCAAGGCACUAACCAGCUACAUCGAUAAGAUUCGUAGUGCACAGUUGUCGAACGCCAACUUUGCCAAGGCCGCCAAGGACUUUAACGAGUGGUUUGGAGAUGCCAAGAUCGAGUUCCAGGAACUUGCUCGCAUGGGAUCCCCCGGAUCAUCCUCUGCCACAGCUCAGCAACUGCAGACCGUCAAGAAUUACAUCAAGACCUUCGACAAUGGUCAGAUACUGCUGAACAAUGCCGUAGAUAUUGGUGAGGCUUUGUACCCAGUGGUUUCGCCCGACAAUCGCGAACGUAUCCGAGCUGAUCUCCGCCAGAUGCGUGAGAAGUUCGACUACUUGCGAGAUGAGGCCAAUGCUUUCAUGCAGCAAGUUGAGGGCGUUCUGAUUCAGAAGACUUCGAUUGAAGAAAGCUACACUCAGGUUUCGCACUACCUUAACGAAUCGAAGGCUAAGGUUCCCACCGGUGACGAACUGUAUCCCACUUUGGCCACCAAGAAGGCUGCCCUCCAGAACUACAAGACUCAGCUGCAGGAGAUCACCCUGCACAAGAAUGCUCUGAAGCAGUUGCACGACAAGGCUGUGACCCUCUGCGAUGAUGAGUCCGAGAGGAAGACCGAUGAGUCCAUCCAGGAGUAUAACACGCUGUCCAAGAAGAUUUCCGAUAGGAUUACAACAGUGGGAAAUCAUGUGGUCAAGCAUGAAGCCUACGAUCAGGUGCUGGAAAAGGCGCAAGACUGGCUGAAUACCAUCAAGUCCGAAGCCAUUGAUAUCCUCAACGAGACGACAUUUGAAAAGGAAGGCGCCGAGGAAAAACUGCUGGUUGUGGAAAACCUUCUGCAACACAAGCCCGAGGGUGAUUCCAUUUUCGAUACCUGUCAGACGUUAUUGGAAACGGUGCUCACACAAACCCAUCCCAGUGGCCAUCCCGCCCUGCUCAAGGGUUUCGAGGAGCCAAAGCAGUCUUGGGAGGACUUUAUGACUCUUUGUCAGGACUCGUUGGUAAAACUGAAGCAGCUUUGCUCUAAAUGGGAUGAGUUUGACACGAUCAUCGAGGAGCUAGACAACUGGAUGAAGAAUGUCGAGGCGGUGGUUAAGAACCAGAACCUUAAGAGUACGGCGGAAGCCAAGAACGCCCACUUAAAGCAGCUUCAGGAUAUUUCAAAGGAUAUUGAACGGCGCGGUGUGGCCAUCAAUGAGCUAAUGGAUCAAGGCCGUGAGAUUGAGGGUGAAACCGAUUUGAACCUUAAAUUGUCUCGCCUGAAUACUCGCUACCAGACCCUGAAGAAUCUGUGCAAGGAAUCGAUAGCCAAGUAUGUGAACUAUGUAAAGGAUCACGAAAGUUUCGAUAAGGACUUCGAUGCAUUCAAGCAAAGUCUUCAGUCCUCGGUCGACGAGCUCGCCAAGACCAAUGAAAUUGUUGGCGAUCAAAGCGUGCUGCAGGAUCAGCAAAAUAAACUCCGUGAGAUGUCCGACAAGCGCAUUUCGGAUUCCACUCUUUUCGAAGGACUCAUCGAUCGUGGCGAGAAACUCUACGGUCACACCAGCCCUGAAGGCCGUGAAAUCAUUCGUCAGCAAUUGCGUGCCCUGCGAACCCUUUGGGACAACUAUACUGAUGACCUGAACUCGGCGACGCAGAAGAUCGAUCAGUGUUUGCUGCAGUUUAACGAGUUCAGCAUUGCCCAGGAUCAACUAACCAAGUGGCUGAAGGAUGUGGACAAGGCCAUGCAGAGCCACACUGAACCCAAGACGACGCUGCAGGAGAAGCGUGCCCAACUUCAGAACCACAAGCUGCUGCAUCAGGAGAUCACCACACACAAUGUUCUGGUUGACAAUGUCUGCGACAAGGCCCAAAUACUGGUCGACCAGAUUAAGGAUAACUCGUUGAAUGUGUACUUGACCUCGAUCAAACAGCUUUUCCAGAGUAUUGUCCAAAAGUCCGAUGAGAUCUUGCACAAUCUGGAGGAUUGUGUUCAGAAGCAUAAUGAAUUAAACAAUGCUCUUGCCUCAGCUAAAACCUGGAUCUCGAAUGAGAAGGCUAAAUUGCUGGAGUGCGACGAUGCUUAUGGCGAGAAGGCGGACAUCAAGCGCAAGAUCGAAACUUUGGGACAAUUGGCUCAGAACAAGCCACAGGCAAUGAAAAUAAUCAGCGAUAUCCGUGAUCUCUUUGAGAAGGUGAAGGCAACGACCUCCGAAAAGGGUAAUGAAGUGCUGGAGAAGGAGAUCGAGGAAUUGGAGACCACCAUGAAGAGUCACUUUGAUGACAUCGAGGGCAUUGAAGGCAAACAGAAGGAUGUACUGGCCCAGUGGGACAAGUUUGAAAAGGCGCUGGAAGAACUUACCAAGUGGUGCCGUAGUGCAGAGGCCGUGUUCCGCGAACAGCAACUGCAGUCCACGCUCCAUGAGAAAGUGGAGCAGCUGGAGAAGUACAAGAUUCAAAGGGAGUUGAUUCUCCAGAAAGAGAAGGAGAUCGAUGCCUUUGGCGAUGCUGCCCAUGCUCUGCUUAACAACUGCGGAGCCGAUCGUCUAAAGACAUUAACCACUCAGAUCACCAACCGGUAUCAACUGCUUCAAGUUCUCAGCAAGGAGGUUGUUAACCGCUGGUCGAAUCUGGUCGACGAUCACCAGUUCUACCAGGAUAAGUUCAACGAGGUGGAUUUGUGGCUGCAACCCAUUGAAUCGCAGAUGGCGAAGGUCCUUCUGGAUGAGCCAACCCAGAGUUCAAACAUUUUGCAAGUGCUGCUGUCUGAAAAGGAGCAAGCAGAGAGCUUAUUUGCUGCUCUGAAUGCAGCUGGAGAAAAGGCUCUUCCAGAGACAUCCACUCAGGGUAGGGAGAAGAUCCGCAAGGACCUGCGCGAUAUCCGCGAUCGUUGGGACAAACUGGACGAGGGAAUUCGCAACCUAGAAAAACGCCAGGAAGCGCAGGGAGUACAGCUCUCCAGCUACCAGGAUAUUCUCAAUCAAACUGUUAACUGGUUGGAUCAAGUGGAGAAACUACUUCACAAUGAAAACCCUGCUAGCUGGACCAGUGCCCAAGAAAUCCGCUCUAAGUUGUACAAGUACAAGGCCACCAACCAAGAUAUCAACUCUCAUAAACGCAUAGUCGAGGCUGUGAAUGAAAAGGCAGCAGCUCUUUUGGGAAGUGCCGCUCCAGCCAACGCAGAUGAGAUUUCCAAGGCGGUGGCUGAGGUGAACAGGCGGUAUGAACAAGUGGGUCAGGACUGUGCCAAGUUAGUUGCCGAUCUGGAUGGAGCCUUCGAUGUGUACCAGCAGUUCAGUGAGCUGCAGAAGGCUCAACAGGACUACCAGAAGAAUCUUUGGGAUCGUCUUACCGGCUACUCUGACUACUCAGGCAAUAAGGCAGCUCUACAAGCACGUCUCCAAAAGAUCAACGAGAUCCAAGAUGCUUUGCCCGAGGGAGUGGCCAAACUCAAGUCCCUAGAGGAACACAUUGAGCAACAGGCCAGUAAUAUACCCGCUCGAUCCAAGGAGGCUAUGGCCCGUGAUCUGGCCAACUUGCAUGCUGAUUUCGAGAAGUUUGGAGCUUCGCUGAGCGACGUAAAGAGCGGGUUGGAGAAUCGUCUGCAACAAUGGAAUGAUUACGAAAUCAACUUGGACCGACUAAUCACUUGGUUGGGUGAGGCCGAAAACGCCCUCAAGAACUACAAUCUGAAAUCUUCGUUCGAGGAGAAGGAGGAGCAACUGAACGGUUUCCAAUCUUUGGCUCAGAAUUUGCGUCAAAACGAAGCUGACUUCGACAAGGUGAAGGACGACACCUCUGAGUUGGUGCAGAGUUCUGGUGAAACAAGGAUUGCUGUUAAUGUGCAACAGGUCUCCUCCCGCUUCCAAUCGAUACAGGCUACCGCUAAGGAGAUUCUCAAGAAGUGCGAGCAGGCUGUUCAGGACCAUGGUCACUUCAAUGACAAGUAUAAGCAGUGUGCCGACUGGUUGGCUAAUGCUCAGGCUCGUUACGAUGAUUGCUGUGACUUGUCCACGGUGGCAUCUCGAGACGAUCUUCUCAAGAAGCAAAUGGUCAUCCAGGAGCUUCUGGCUCAACAGCCCACAGCUACCCAGCUUCUAAAUAGCACCGUUGAGCAGGGCGAGAAGUGCUAUGGGUCCACAGCAACCGAAGGACGCGAGGCCAUUCGUAGUCAGCUGGAUGAUCUGACAUUCGAUCAGUUGUUUGACAACAUCGCUAUCACGGCAAGAAAGAUCCAGGAUAAGAUCGCCAAGUGGUCUGGCUUCGAUGAGAUUGCUGACAGCCUGAAGAGUUGGUUGGAUGAAACGGAGAAUGCUCUUCCAGCUGAUAUUGAGCUGAAAACCACUCUGGAUGAGAAACGCAAUAAGCUGCAAACCUAUCGUGACAUCUUGAACGACAUCAACAAUCACCAGGUGGAGUUGGGUAAUCUUCAGGAGAUUGCCGCCAAUCUGCCAGAGAAAACAGACCUUGUGGACGAAAUUCUUAAGGACAUCUCUGAUCGUUUUGGAAAGCUGCAAAAACGCGCCCAAAACUACGUGGAGCGUUACGAGGGAAUUGUGAGUGCACAUCAGCAGUACUCCAAGGCUGUUAUGGAUGCUCAAGAGUUUAUCGAUGCUACCCUGAAUACGGUCCACUAUUGGGGUGAUCUGGACCUAGAACAGAUCUCACUGCACACGAACCUCGAUCGUCUAAAGAAUCUGAAGGCCAGCUUGGCCGAUGAAUUCCCACGAGUUGAUCAAGUCAGGGCUUUGGGCGAGAAGGUUAUUCCGGGUACGGUGGAUGUGGGACAGGUGAACAUAAAGUCCCAGAUCGACACCACCCAGCAAGAAUGGGAAAGUCUACUGACCACUAUCAGCUCCACUAUCGAAGCCAUUGAAGCUCGUCUACAGCAUUGGUCGGAAUACGAACAGUUACGUGACCAGUGCUUGGCUUGGAUUCGUGAUACGGAUAACAACCUUCAUGCCAUCGAUCUGAAGGAGGAUUUGCCGAAAAAGCGUGCUCAGUUGGAUGCACUGAAGGCUCUUCAAGGAGAUGUACGCGCCAAGGAAUUAGAGGUUGAUAAUGUCACGGAGAAGGCCCAAACCCUUCUGAAGGGUCCAUCCAGCAAUCGAGCCUCGGGUCCUGAGUUGGUUACCAAGUACCAGCAGAUCUUCCACAAGGUUAAGGAGCUGAACAACCGUUGGCAACAGUAUGUUACUUCUCACGAAGAUUUUGAUAAUGCCAUCUCUGAUUGCUCCUCUUGGAUCAACGACAUCAAAGAAAAAUUGGACUACUGUUCCGACAUGUCAUCUAUGAGUCCUAAAGAAUUGGAUAAGAAACUGGCCACUAUCCAGGAUGUUAUCCUGCUGAAGGACGAAGGUUCUGCGCGUGUCUUGAAGAUCUUAGAGCAGGCCCAACACGUGUUGGCUAACACAGCGCCCGGAGGUCACGAGGCCAUCAAUAAGGAACUCACCGAUCUUCAGGAGCUCUGGUCCGGAAUCGCUCUGCGCAUCAUGGAUGUGAAGUCAAAUCUAGAUGACUCGAUUACACAAUGGUCUGGUUUCUUGGAUCAAGUGCAAAAUGUUCGCAAGUUUAAUGAGUGGUUGGAUGGUCAGGUUAAGGAGUUGAGUGAGCAUCAAACAACCAUGACAGAAAAGCGAGCUCAAUUAGAUCGAGUUAAGUCUACGGAGGAGAAGGUUCGCGUAGAAAAGAUUGAUGUGGAUGCACUCAAAAUCCAAGCCAAGGAAAUGAUUGCCAGUGGUCAACAGAGUCAGGCAGCCUUCCAGGCCCAAAAAGUUCUGGAUACGUUUGACGAGCUCUUUGCCAAGACCCAGAAAUUGCUGUCCGAUCGUCAAGAUCAGUACAGGGAUCAUCGAUUGUUCAAGGAGGCCUACGAUGAUCUGGUUAGCUGGAUUGGACGAGCUCGGGAGAAAUUCCCUUCGUUGAAACAGAGCAGCUUAAGCGAUAAACUAGCCAUUGAAAACGCUGUCCAAGCUACCGAAGCUCUUCUCAACAAACAGGCGCAGGGAGAACUCCUCGUUGAGCACUUGGUCCACACUGGAGAGGUGGUGCUGGCCAGUACUUCAGCUCAGGGGCAGGAAAUCAUUAGGAAUGAUAUCCGUGCCUUGCGCGACAGCUUCGAGGGCUUGUUCCGUGAAAUUAACCAGCAGAAGGAAAACCUUGAGGUGACCAUGGUUCAAUGGCGAGCUUAUAAGGAGGAAUAUGAACGUCUGAUGGAAUGGCUCCAACAGAUCGACAUCCUUGUGAAGAACCACAAACUGAACCUGUGCCCCAACCUACCUGACAAGGAGAAGCAAGUGGCUGAUAUGAAGGAUGUAAUGUCUCGUCUCGAGAAAGGCAAAGAUGACAUCGAUAAGUUCAAAGCGUCGGCUGCCAGUCUGCUUAAAUCCCAUUUGGAUACUUAUGUGAACAAUCAGCUGAGGCACUUGAGCUCCGUGUAUCAAGUACAGGUAAAUCUAGCCAAGGAUGUUCUCAAGAAGGUGGAAACCAACCGCGAUCAGCAUCGUGAAUACGAUGCCAAUAUGAAAUCUGCCAAGGAUUGGAUAGCAAAUGCCAAGGCUACAAUUCAGUCGGCGGGUGAAGGAGCAGGCUCCAAGGAGGCUCUACAGCGUCGUCUCGAGCAAAUUCAGGAUCUGAUUCGCAACCGUGAGCUUGGCCAGAAUUUGGUCCAUACCGCGAUCAAUAAUGGCGAAAAGAUAAUUAGGAACACGCGUUCCGACGGACGUGACGCCAUUAAUUCCGAGAUGAAGGAACUGCAAACCGAAUGGGAUCGCCUGGUGAAGAAAAUGUCCACAGCCAAGGUGCAGUUGGAGACAAAUCUGUUGCAAUGGGCGGACUACAGUUCCAGCUACUCCCAGCUGCAGCAAUGGAUUACUGACAGGGAGGCCAAGUUGCAGCAGGCUUGUGAACAGAAGAUCGUAAAAUCCAAGAGGGGUCAACCUGGUCUCAGUAGUGGAUUGAGCGAACGCAAGGCCAAUCUUCGUCAGACGAACAACAUUGUCCAGGAUAUUGUGUCAUUUGAGCCCAUGAUUCAGUCGGUUACUUCCAAGGCUUCGGUUCUUCAGCAGGGUGCUCCGGGCACUGAAAUCUCGGAUAAGUACGAGAAUCUCACUAAGCAAGCUAAGGACUUGUACGAGAAACAGAAGAACACCAUCGAGAGCUAUCAGUCCUUGAUCGACGCGGGCAAUGAGUUCGCCACGUGGUUGAGAAAUGCCAAGGAACGAUUGAGCAAGUGCUCGGAGCCCACGGGCGAUAAACAAGCCCUGGCCGAGAAGACCCACCAGCUGAAGAUCUUGCAGGGUGAGCUUCCCGAAGGCGCCCAGAAACUUAAGAAUGCUUUGGAACAGGGCGAGAUCGCUUGUCGCAGUGCCGAGCCCGAGGAUUGUGAGAUCAUCGAGCAGGAAGUGGCUCUUCUUCAAGAGGAAUUCGAUGCCUACAGGGAGGCCCUCAAUAAGGCCAAGGAUUACCUGGAAGUGGGUAUUGUCAAGUGGUCCGACUACCAGGAUCAGUACACCGAAGCUCUGGAGUGGUUAAGUAAGACCGAAGCUUUGGUGCAAUCCUACAACAAACUGCAGGAUAGCUUGAUCCAAAAGAAGGUUGUCCUCGAGCAAUUCCAAGGACAUCUGCAAACCCUAUUCGACUGGCAGAAGACUCUGGAUGACCUGAACAUGAAAGCACAGGUUCUACUGGAGACUUGCUCCGAUACAAGAAUCAGCAAUGCUAUCAUGCAACUGACCACCAAAUACAAUGCGCUACUGACUCUGGCCAAGGAGGUGAUGCGUCGACUGGAGAUGCACUACCAGGAGCAUCAGCAGCACCACAGCCUGUACGAGGAGUGCCAAUCAUGGAUUGAGAAGACCCGCGAGAAACUAUCCGAAUGCGAACAAAUACCCGGAACUCUAAACGAGGUUCAAAUCAAAUUGAACACCGUGAAGAACCUUCGUCAAGGUUUUGAAACCGGCCAGAAUAAACUGCGUUAUCUUUUGGAGCUCAAGGAGAAGGUGAUAAUGAACACAGAACAGAAUGGAGCAGCCAAGAUCCAGGAAGAUACCGAAGCCUUAAAGCAGGACUUUGACAAACUCCUAGUGGAUCUAAACGAUGUUCGCCAGAAAUUGGCCAAUCGUCUUGCCCAGCUGGAGGAGAUCUUCAAGCUGUACAAAAUCCUAGUUGAAUGGCUAGAGGAUGUCGAGCCGAGUGUCAAGACCAGUAAUGAGUUCCUGAAUGACUUGAGUGAGAAACGAGCGGCGCUGGAGAAGUUCCGUGUCAUUCAGCGAGAUAUCAAUGGCCACAAUGAUAUUGUGGAAAAGAUCAAUCAGCGACUGAAGGAGGACAACAGCUUGGAUCUGAAGGACUUCCAGCCCGGCUUGACCAAAUUCGAUGACCUGCAGACUCAGGUGAACAAGAUCAUUGAGUCGCUGGAGAACCAGGUAAACAGCCACGAGAAAUACAAGCAGGCCUACAAUGAGCUGCAAGACUGGCUGCGACGCACUCGCAUUGAGGUGGAGCAGUGUGCCGACUGCCAUGGCGAGAAGGAGCAAGUGGAGAGUCGUCUGAAUCGAUUGGGAGAUAUACAAUCGUCAUCUCUGGAGGGCAAAGCCCUGCUUGAAGCUUGCGAAGAGCUGAGUCAGGCGGUGAUUGCCACCAGCGGCAGCGAAGGCCAGGACAAUGUGGCCCAGGAGAUCAAACAUCUCACCUCAGAGUGGGAGACCCUCCAAUCGCUAUCCCGCGAUGCUCGCAGCAGCCUGGAAUCCUGCUUGGCCGCCUGGCAGACCUUCCUGCAGAAGUUCAACAAGAUCAACCUGUGGAUCGAAACGAUGAACAAGCGCGUUACCAAAUCCCAGGAGGGUGAGAACAAGACUCCCGAAGAUUUGGUUAAUGCCAAGAAACUGCUUGAGGAAGUGCUGGCCGAGAAGGAUAAUGUUGAGGAUCUGAACGACAACUGUGAGCUUCUCAUGGAGCAGAGUGCCUGCACUCGCAUUCGUGACCAGACCAUCGAGACUCAGGCCAACUACACCAAGCUCUUGACUUCCGCCCAGGGAUUGGUUGCCAAGAUCGAGAAGAAUCUGUCCGAUCACACCGAGUUCCUGAACUAUAAGAAGGAAAUGGACGCCUGGAUCGAAAAAGCUCAAACUGUUCUUGACGAUUGCUCCACUGAUGGUGACGCAGCCAUCAUUGCCCAAAAACUUGACACGGUCAAUUCAUUGGCUUCUCGCCUGCCCGAGGGUCAGCAUCUGUUGGCUCUGGUGCAGGAUGCCUACUCGAAGGCUUCGAACAUCACUCCUGAGGAUAAGCAAGAGAAGCUGCGGGAGCUGAUGACCAAGGUUCGUGAGGAUUGGGAUGCCCUGGGACUGGCCGUGAAGCAGAAGUUGAGUGACCUCAAGCAGGCGCAGAAUCGUUGGAACGAUUUUGCUGCCAACAAGGAUAAACUUGAGAAGUGGCUCAAUGAAACCGAAACGACUCUUAAGGUGGCCCCGGAAACCAAGGGCGAACUGAGCGAAAUGAAGACCCUGCUGGAGCGUUACAAGACCCUUUCGAAUGAACUGAAACAGAAGGGUAACGAGCUGGAGCAACUGCAGUCGGAGGCUCGCGACCUGGGCACCGAAGUGGAUGCAGUGAAUCGCUUGCAGUCCCGAUGCGACAAGCUCAAGAACGAUUGCUCCGCUCACAUUGCGGCGCUGGAACAGGAGAUGUUUGAUUAUAAUGCCUACCACCAGAGUCUGCAGGAUGUGGAGAAGUGGCUCCUGCAGAUUUCCUUCCAGUUAAUGGCCCACAAUUCGCUGUUCAUCUCGAAUCGUGAACAGACCCAGGAGCAGAUCAAGCAGCACGAAGCACUGUUGGUUGAAAUUCAAAAGUACCAGACCAAUUUGGAUGAUUUGAAUGCGAAGGGUCAGGCGCAGAUUAAGCGUUAUGAGUCCUCAACCCCAGCCAUUCGUCCUACGGUUGAGUCACAGCUGAAGAAUAUCCAGGAUAGCUACAACUCCCUGCUGCAAACAUCAGUGCAGAUCAAGAACCGCCUGUUGGAGUCGCUGGCCAAGUUCCAGGAAUACGAGGACACUUUGGAUAGCAUUAUGCGUAAUCUGGAGACAUAUGAGCCUAUUAUUCAGACGGAACUUGAUGCUCCGGCCACCAGUUUGGAGUUGGCUCAAAACCAAUUGAGGUGUGCCCAGGAGAUGCAGAACAAGCUGAACAACGAGAAGUCCCGACUGGCAGCUGCCGUUCAGGCUUGUGAGGCAGCCACUGCCUCCAUCAGUCGUCCCAGUUCUCCACUGGAAACAGCCAUGCAGGCUAUUCCCGAAAGGGAGCUCAUUGUGCGCGCUAAGCUCGAGGAUCUGCUGGAUCAGAAACCGCCUCCAAAGACUCGGAGCUCAACCAAAGGUGUCAACAGAGAUGAUGAUGAAGACGAGGAUGAUGUUGAGAUUCAGGUUGAGCUCAGCGAUGUAAAUGAGGCGCUUUUGGAUCCCAUUGCCCACGAGCGUGUCAGGAACUAUCGUCGCAUAGUUCGCUUGAAUAGCGCUCAUGUGGGCAAGCUAAAUGAAUUAGUUGCUAAGGUGCAAUCCCACUUGGGUGGUCUGACUGCAUCCGUUAGCGAACUGGAGCAACAGCAGAAGCAGCGCGCCGAGCUGCAGGAUUGGGUGAAGAAGCAGCAGAGCUCCAUCUCAGAUUGGAUGAUGCGUCCUUGCAAGUUGCGUCCGGAGGCCGCUCAACAGGAGCUGGUGUCCAUGAACGAUUUGUUGAACUCCAUCGGUGACAAGCGGUCGCAGUUGAUGCUGGAAAUGACAGGAUCAUUGGGCGACGAGGAUACCGAUCUGGAUGAUAACAUCGACAAGCUGGAAUCGGAGCUCAUGGAUGCCAUUGCCAAGAAGCAGGCUGGUCAGAAUGUAAUCGAUGGCUAUCGCCAGGGAAUGGCGGAUGUCCAGAACUGGUUCGAUACCCUGAUCAAGCGCAUGGAUGUUUUGGAUCGCGGUUCUGGUUUGAAUUGUGCCCAGAAAAUGGCGGCCAUUAAUGAGAUCAAAAACGAAUAUGAGCUGCAAGGACAUCCCAAGAUUCAGGAGCUGAAGGGCAAGGCAGCACAGGUGGCGGAGGUCAUCAGCAAUCUCGAUGGUCAGCAAGUGGAAGAGCAAAUGAAGUCACUGGAUCGCCGCUUUGCUGAUCUCGGCAAGCGCAUCGAUCGCAAGGCUCAACUCCUGGAUGUGACCAACAAGGGUGUGGAGGGAGCCAAGGGCGAGAUUGAUCAACUCCAGAAUUGGGUGAAACAACAGAUUGAGGAGCUGCAGGCCCCCACUCCAUUGGGUUACACUCCCAAGGAUGCCGAGGCACGCCAACAGAAGAUCAAGAGUCUGAUGAAGGAUGCCGAGGCCAAGCAAUCUCUGGCCGAUGUCCUGGAGAAGCGUGUGGCCAACAUGCAACAGGAAUUGGAACCCGUUGAGUACUCCCAAUUGGAGUCCGCAUUGCGUAAUCUCAAUACUGAGAACCGCAAUUUAUCGGGAGUCCUUAAGGCUGAACUGGAUCGUGCUCUGGAGGCCAGCAAGGCUCGUAAAACGCUGGAGAACGACCUGGACAAGGCACGCCAGUGGCUGAAGACCAAGAUCUCUGAAGUGCGCAAGCUGCCCGUGUACCACCCACUUACCUCUGCUGAGAUCGAGAAAAAGAUCCAGGAGAACCGGAAAUACGAUGACGAUGCCAAGCAGUUCAACGACAGCGUUUUGACUGAUGUUCAGCGUCAAGCGGCCAACAUAAUGAAGGAUUGCGAUGACGCGGACAAGGCUGCUCUGCAGCAGAUCCUGGAUGAAAUUGCUGCCGACUAUCAGACCCUCAAGGAUGAGAGCAGCAAGAGAGGCAAGUCUCUGGAUGAUCUUCUGCAAGGCCGCAAAGCCUUUGAGGAUUCCAUGAAGAACAUGGGCGAUUGGUUGAACGAAAUGGAAACCGCCACCGAGGGUGAGCUGCGUACCACUAGUCUCCCCGUUUUGGAGGAGCAACUGGCCCAUUACAAGAAGCUCCUCAGUGAUGCCGAGAAUAAGGGCGGCCUCAUCAACGAUGUUUCGGAGCAAGGAAAGAGCAUCCUGCCCACACUGAGCAAUGCCGAUAAGUUGAAACUCAACGACGAUAUCAAGAACAUGAAGGAUCGUUAUGGCAGAAUCAAGAAUACCAUCGAUGACCGUGUGAACGCCCUGGGUGAUCACAUCAAGAAGUACAAGGAUGCCAAGAGCAGGUUGGCCGAGUGCAGUCAGUUCUUGGGCAACAUUCAGCAGAAACUCAGGGAGCUGAACCGCCCGAUUGGAUCCAGGAUCGAAGAUGUCCAGGACUUGUUGGGUGCCUAUGAGGGAAUUCUCAAGGAACUCAAGGACAGCAAGAGCAAGAUGGGCGAUAUGCAGAUAGAUGAUUUGCCAGAGUUGCAGAGCAUUUUGGCCCAGCAAGAUGAUAUGAUUAAACUGAUUGAAGAUCAGUUGGCCCAUCUUCGCCAACUUCUGCUGCUCCGCGAGCAGUUUAUUGCUUUGAUUAAUGAGAUUAUUGCCUUUAUUAUGAAGUACACCGAUGUCAUCAUUGAUAUUGAGAACUCACCUGAUAGCCUGGAGGAUAAGAUCAACAAGUACGAUGAUGUGAUUGUGAAGAUUCAGGAGUGCGAGGGUGUCUUGGCUUCGGCCAAUGACAAGGGCCAGAAGAUUGCCUCCGAAGGUAAUGCUGCCGAUAAAAAUAGCAUUACUGAGCAGUUGCAGUCCCUGAAGAAUCAGCUGCAGAAUCUCCGCAAGGCGGUGGAAUCGCAGCGUCAAAAGCAUCAACUCCAGUUGGAGUCCCACAAGAAGAUGGCCGCCGAACUGAGCGAUAUCCUCGACUGGUUGCACAGCCACGAGGGAGCGGCCAAGUCGCGUCCUUUACUGGACCGGGAUCCCGAGUCCGUGGAGCGUGAGCUGCAGAAGCACCAGGGUCUCAGUCAGGACAUCGAAUCCUACCUCAAUAAGUUCAACAAAAUCAAUCAUGGGGUUAAAACCGAAAUUGGCAUGCCAAGUUCCCUGUUGGAAAUGCUCUCCGAGGGCAGAUCCCUGGUGGCUUCACUGCCCCACGAACUGGAGGAGCGUGAAAAGUAUCUGAAGAACAACCGCGACUCUCGUUUGGAGUACAUGCAACUGGUGGCCAAGUUCAAUGACUGGGUACAUGAGGCCGAGCUGCGCCUUCAGAACAGCCAGCAUGGCAUCGACUACGAGCACUUGGUCCAGGAUCUUGACGAACACAAGAUAUUCUUUGGCAAUGAGGCUCCCAUCCGCAACCUGGUGCACAAGCAGAUCCAGGAGGCCGCCGAUAAGAUCUGGUCCUCGCUGAACAACUACGAACAGUCGGAACUUUCGGCGGAGUUGGCUCAGUUCCAAACCAAGUUGACCAACACCCUGGCCAAUGCCAAGACCCAACAGAGUGAACUGGAGAAGGAGGCCGAACGCUGGCGGGAAUACCAGCAGUCCAUUGAUCGCGUCAAGGCCACCAUCGAACGUACCAAGUUUGUCGAUGAGCCCGUCCAGAAUUUGGCUGGACUCCACUUCAAUAUCCAGAAGCUGUCGCACGCCAUCGGCAAUGUUCAGAGCCAAAACAGCGACCUAACGCUAGUCAACCAGCAGGCCCAAUCGCUCAUCCGCCAAGCGGACGCCCGCAAUCGCCAGCUGAUUGAACAGGAUAACGCCGGACUGAAUAGAUCUUGGCAGGAUCUGGUGCGCAGCCUGGAACAGCGACGCGACAACCUGCAACAGUUGGCCGAGCAUUGGGACGGCUUCGAGAACAGCCUGCACGCCUGGGAAAAGGCACUUGGUCGACUGGAGGACAAGUUCCGCAAUGUCGAUCCGACUGUAAGAUCCCGACGUCACUUGGAAGAUACGAAGAAUGCCAUUCAGGAACUACGUGAAGAAUCAAAUCAACUUAAAUCAUCACAUAAAGAAAUCGAGGCGCUCUCUAAAUCCAUCCUCACAUUCCUUGGGGAAGUACACAAACCCUCGGCGGAGGCCAUACAGGCCAAAGUGGAUAAGUUAGUUGAACAGCAGGCCAAAUUAAACGACACUCUGCGCGAUAAGGAGCAACAGGUUAGCAAGGAUCUCGAGGAGAUCGAGCAAGUCUUCCGUCGCAUCUCGCAGCUGCAGGACAAGCUAAACGCGCUUCACGAUCAACUCCAGUCGGUUCACGUCUACGACGAGCACAUAGCCCAAACGGAACAGCUCCUAAUCACACUGAACAGUCAGGUGCAGCAGGCCGCCGAGGAGAGCAAAUCACUGGUGGCCCAGACAACGGCCCACUACCAGGCCAAACAGAAUCAGCUGCCCAGCGACAUUGCCCAGGAGUUUACCGCUCUUGAGCUACUUGCCGAACGCGUCCAGGUGACCAUGGAGACCAAAGAGAAGGAUUUCAAGCGGGCAAAGACCGUGCGCACCGAAUAUGUGGCCGGUGUGGACGAGGUGCAGCGUUGGCUAUUCCAGGCGGAGGUGCAGGUGCAGGAGAGAAGCCUCACACCCACACAGAUGAAGGAGCUGCUGCAGCGCAUUAAUCACGAGAUCACCGCCAUCUACGAACGCUUCACCCUGGUCAAGACCAACGGCCAGCUGAUCAUCGAGAACUGUCGCAACAGCGAGGAGAAGACGCUGGUGCAGACGACCAUCGAUCAGUUGGCCGCAUCGCUGGCCCAGGUACGCGGCUGGCUGGAUGAGAAGAAGCAGGCGGUGGGCGAUAGUCUGGACGCGUGGACGAGGUUCAUGAACCUCUACCAGAUCGUGAUGUCGUGGGCUUCCGAGAAGCGCACCUUCAUCGACCAGACCAUCGAGCUGCGCACCCUGCCCGAGGCACGCAACAAACUGAACGACUAUGUGACGGCUGUGAAGAGUAUUAAACCGAUUGUGAAGCAUCUGAGCGAAAUGGACAAGGAACUGGAGCACAUUGGCCAAGUGACGACUGUGGGCGAUCUCAAGGACAAACUGCAGGAGGCCGAGGAUGCGAAGAUAUCCGUGGAAGCGGUGCUGCUAGAGAGGAACUCCCUGCUGCAAGAGGCCUGCGAGGAAUGGGACCAAUGUGAACGCAAGAUUAAGGAUAUACGCUCCUGGCACGAAAAGACGAAGCAGGGACUGGACUCCUCGCAGCAGCAGAAGAAACCGCUGCGCGAUCAGCUCGGCUUCUGUGAGAAGACCCUGGCCGACAUCAAUGUGCAGAAAACGAAACUGAGACUGUCCAUCGAGAAACUGGAGGUUCAUUUCCGCAAUGGCAUGGGCGGUGAUCCGCGCCUGAGCGAGAAUGUCGAUGAUCUGGUGCGCGUGCUCGACGGCCUCGGCGAAUUGGUCAGGGCCAAGUCGCAGAGCCUCGAGCAGACGCUGGCCCAGAUCGACGUUUACCAGCAGCAGAUGCAGUCCCUGCGCCAGCGCAUCAUCCAGGAGGAGCAGCAGCUCCGCCUGGUGAUGGCGCCCACGUACUUGCCGCACGAUCGCGAGCGCGCAUUAGCCGAGCAACAGGCAAUGCGAGAAUCAAUCGAUGGCAUGCAGCAAGUCUACGAUGCGACCGCUCGAAAGUCCUAUGCGCUGGAUCCCCAUUCAGUGGUGACCACUUCAUCGACUGUCUCGUUGCUUAUGAAGCCAACGGCGGCAGUGGGUCUAACCUAUGCUGAAGUGCUGUCGGGACAUGCGAGUCCGGUAAGCAGCGGUAAUGAAUCGGUAACCAAUCCCCGAACAGAACGAGACCCCUCCACGACGACAACGACCACAACGACUCGGCAGCAACAAUCGAACGAUACUCAGAACCGGACCACUAUUACAACCAUUAAGACUACCACAACCAAGACAACGACUUCGAGAAGUACGCACGGGGAUGACGAUCUAAGCCAAGAGCGAAUCGAGUUCAAUGGCGGUGGCAGCACCAUACCCACAGAGAUCUAUGAGCACCACGAACAGGUCACACCACCCAGCGAAUAUACCUCAAACACGGUUCCUAUCACAGCUACGACAACGACAACGAUAACGACAACCAACCCCAACACCCAGUUCAUCGAAAGCGAGCAGAGACACCAACAUCACCAUGCGAAAGCGGGUAAGAAGCUUCAGCCACCGCGGCCAGAACGCCGUGGUCGAUCUCCCAGACGCCGACCUCAACAGCCCCAUCCAGUGGAAGCCUCUCAACAGCCCUCGAUCGAGAUUCAAUUGGAGCCACCACAGCAAGCACAAGAACAGGAACAACUCUUCUUGCCUGCUGAUGACCGGACUAGAUCCCGCAGCCCCAUGUGGGUACCAGGAUCGACUUCCUACGCUGAAGUUCUUCGGGGACUGGAGCUGGAGCGGAUCAGGGCCGAACAGCAGGCCGCUCAGGCAGUUCAAGGCCGUUCCGAAUUGACCAUUCAGGAUGUUGUGGAUGCCAGCGCAGAAGUGUCAGGCAGUAUUUAUAUACCACAAGCUGAUCCAGAGCCCAUCAAGGAAACGCCGCAACAGCAACCACAGCUGGAACAGUACAUCACCGAAACGAGCACAUUACUUGACUAUUCUACUCCCCAGCAACAGGAACAGAAGCCCGCCAGCCAAUACGAAGCACCCAUGACUGCCGAAGAAAUUGCAGCCACCUACUUGCAGCCCGAUCCGCAGUUGUAUCAGACUAUGUACGAAAACGUGGCCGAUAGCGGUCAGUGGGGCUAUGUCACGGGAUCUGCGACGGAUCCACAGCAUCAGCAGCAGCAGCAGCCUCCACAGAACUACUACGAGCAGAUAAUGCAGAUGCAGUAUCCCAUACAGUAUCAACAAGUAGCUGUACCACCAGCCACUACGCAGUAUCAGCUAUUAGCAGGCUACUAUCAGCCGGUGCCUCAGACGGAGGCCUAUUCCACGGUUUAUCCGGCAGAGCCAAAUCAAAUAUACUACGCACAGCAAGCGGCGGAUUACUCGCAGGAAUAUUCACAGCAGCAGCAAGUCGAACCUAUGCAAGAAUACCCGCAGGAAACAGUGGAGCAGACAUAUCUGCUUGAUCCAUAUCGCGUUGAGAACACUCUUCCCUCGACGACAGGCAACAGCGUGCUGGAUCGCGUUGUUACCACACUGGCAUCGAUCGUUCAACAGAGUGCAGAACCCCUGACCACCAGCACCCAGCAAAUCCAACCUCUUGUCACUGUGGUCGAGAGCGAGCCGUACUAUAUUGAAGAGCAUGUUCAAAUGCUGCGACCUGUAGAGCCACAGGAACUUGAGCUGGAUGAACCGCGACCUGAUAUCACAUUUGGUCAAUUCGAGGUUGAUGCCAUUGAAACUAUACCAUUGGAUGAACCACAUGCACCACAGACCCAAGUCGAGACUCAGUCGCAAGUCCGUACUCAACAAACCAUUACGACAACCACUUAUGUAACAGAGACAUCAACGGUCUCCGAACAGACACAGCCAACUGUGAUAACGCAGCAGACUCAGGAAGUCAUCGCGGUACCAGAUAUCCCACAGAUCCCCAUAGAAGUGCCCACAACUGUCGUGGUGCACCCCCAGCCGCAGAGGCGAAGCAACCAACAGGUCCGGCCCCAGGACAUUAGCACAGGCAGCACUUACGCCGAAGUCCUCUUCGGUCUCCACCACAAAGAACAUCCAGUUUUCCAGCCAUCCAGUCAGCAACCGACCCCAGUGCGCCUUACGUCCUCGCCGCCUUUGCAACGCAAGACGGAACAGACUGGUACUAUCAGUACCACUACUUUUACCAAUAAGACUUCCCAACCAGCACGACAUGUCGAGAAAUCAUCGGCAUGGGAACACAAGAUCGACAAUGUGGACUCACGAACCUCGCGACUUAAAAGAGUGAGGCACGAAACUCAACCGGAACCACUACCGAUUAAACAGAGUACCAGGAAAGAUGGUAGGACGGGUAAAAAACCACAGUCUCCUGAUACAAAUGGUGUUGCCUUGGUGGAAACGAAAGUGGUUGAUGCUCCGGUAUCCAAUCCUGUAGUUGAAGAGACUUCAAAGCCUGAGCCAAAGCCAAGAAAAUCAAAGAAGCCAAAGAAGUCCACUGAUAAUGGGGUUGAAUCAGCCGCCGCUAUCUCAGUGCCAUCUAAGAAAGAUACGCAAUCGGCCCUUCCCUCUGUAGAGAAAACGGAAACUGUGGUUGAAAGAACUGUGAUAAAGAAAAUCGUUGAACCAUCUGUUGAGCCUGUAGAACCAAUUCCAGUUCCCUCGAAGAGAGAAAAGAAACAAAAGCCAGUUGAAGUGGCACCAGUCGCUCCGACCAGAAAAGAGAAAAAACAAAUCAAGAGUCAUGUUAAGGAGGUUGAUACCGCCAUAGCAAAAGAACUUGCUAUUGAAAAGGAGACUGCCAAGCCAGCUGAUGUUCCAAAGACACAGGGAAAACAAACGAAAACCGUGGUCGAGACGGUAGUUGAAAAGGAGGUUCUCAAACCAGCCGUAACUGAGAAUGUAGAGUUGGCAAAGACGCUUACCCCGGCGGCGCCUUCGAAGAAGGACAAGAAGCAGUCCAAGACAGUUGUUGAGCAAGAAGUGAUUAUGAAGCCAAUUGAGACUGUUAUCGAAAAGGAAGUAGUAACACCAACUGUGAUUGAAACAACCGAUGUUUCUCAAGUAAAGCAACAAGAAGCUCCUGCUCCUUCUUCGAAAAAGGAAAAGAAACAGACUAAAAAAGUGGUUGAGACCUCGGUCACUGUUACAGAAAAUGUGGAACCGGCUGUUCAUUUCGAGGCCACUCCUGCAGUGCCAACGAAAAAGGACAAAAAACGUUCUAAGAAGGAACCUAAGGAAGAAAUUAAAAUUUCCUUGGCAUCGGUGGAGAGCACUGAAAAUAUUACGGAGCCUACAGUUUCUAUUCAGGAAACAGUUGAAAAAGUUGAAACGUUAUCAGAAACAGUUCCUGAAACAACAUUAGAAGAAGAAAAGGUGACAGUUCAAUAUGAAAAUGGUUUUUCAGAUUCAUCACUUACAACUACUGAAACUGUUACGAAGUCUACCAAUGAGGUUGCACCCUCCAAUAUAACCGAGACCAUUAUUGAAGGCGAGCCCACGGUUACCACAUCGACUAAUACCAUUUCAACGGAAAGUGGAACUACAACUAUCACAACGCGAACAAUAACUAAGCAUAUUACCAAGCGCAUUGUGAAGCGAAUUGUAGAUGGUAAGGAGGAGAUUGUUGAGGAAGAUGUCAUUGAUGAUUUGCCUGAAGAGAACAUCUGCGUUGAGCAGUACAACCUACCAACAAUCGAGACCACCACCAAUGAGGUGCCCAUCGAUGUGACAGGAUUCGCUACAGCCCAGGAUACAAUCGUGCAGCAGGGAUCGAUAACCAAGACUGUUAUCACAAAGACAAAGCGCAUCUUGAAACGCAUCACCGAAGACGGAGAGGAAAUAGUUGAGGAGGUCUUUGAGGAUGAACCCGAGGUGGAACGCGACGUUACACUACUGCCUACCACAGUGGUCACUUCGUUGGAUGUCAUAAAGGAUGCUGCCCAUAAUGUGGUUGAGGAAGUUAUCAAACAAGCUGAGGAAAUAACGCAACCUGAAUCGCAGAAGUUGAUCGAGGAAAAGCCUGAACCUGAAGUUUCCGAAGAAGUUGUGGCUGUGAAGAAGCAAAAUAAGCCACAAAAGCCUUCGAGAAAGGAGAAGAAGCAAAAAUUAUUGGAGAACAAACCAGAAACGGUUAUCGAAACGAAGGUUGUCGAAAUUGUCGAGCCACAACAAGAAAUCACAGAGCCCCAACAAGAAAUCACCGAGCCGCAACAAGAAAUCACAGAGCCCCUGAACAUAACAAGUGCAAUUACAACAGAUAAUAAUCAAACUCUUUCGUCGGAGCAGACCACUGUCAGCGAUGAUAGUGGCCUCAUUAAGACUACAGUUAUUCGUACAACCAAAAUCGUAAAGAAAAUCUCAAACAAUCAGCAAGAAAGUCAGGAGAUGGUGUCUUCGACGUAUUCAGAUGCACCCUCGUCUUUGGGAUCUUACGAUUUGGCGGAAGAAGCAUUAGAACCUGCCAAGAUUGAGAAAUCAGAGUUAAAUAGCCGUGAAAUUAGCGAUGAAGGCGUGGUUAAAACAACAAAAACCACAACCACCAAAACAAUUAUAUCUCCCAAGGUAGAUGAAAGCAAAGAGGAACCAUCACUGGAAGUGACAUCCACUGUUUCGCCUCCAGUUGAUAUUGAGUCUGAGGAGGGUGGUGUAGUUAAAACUACUAUAGUGCGCACCACCAAAAUUGUCAAGAAGAUUUGCAAUGAAAGCGAAAAUGUGAGCGAGACCAGCAGUGAGCCAGAAGUCUCUCUACCAAUUGUGGAAACAGCCAUUCAAGAUGCACCUGUAGUAGCUGAAUCGGUUACAACCGAGUCGAACAGCGAGGGUAUAACCAAGACCACAACUACGCGAACUACAAAGGCUGUGACAAAGACUGUCACCGAAAAUGAACAAGAAAUCCUUAAGCUACCGGAUGUUCCUGUUGAUCCGGUUGAACCAGAAAACCAAACUGUUUUGGGUGUAAUUGAAACCGUCGAACUGCCAGAAGUUCCGGUGGCCCCUAUUGGAGUUGAGGACAAGCUCCUAGUCACUGCGACAGCUAAUAAAUAUUCCCAGGCUAGUCAAGAAAAGUCCUCAAUAGUGGACUUUAUUAGCGCAGAACAGAAUGCGACUGAUAAAUAUACAACGCCAAUAAAAACCGUCACGGAGGUUCCAGCUAUCGCGGAAUUUGAGAGCAGUUAUCCAAUUGAAGAAACUACGACAUCUGAGCCAGAAUCUUCUGAGGUUGGUGAUGUUGUCAAGACAACAAUUGUUCGAACAACGAAAAUUGUUAAAAAGGUUACCCAAAACACGGAACAAACUGUUGGUGUGGUCGUUGAUGCUCCACAGUCGGAGACUGAAAAAACGGAAGCAGAAGAGCCUGUAGAGGAGGCUAGUGGGGGUGUGACUAAGACAACAACUGUGCGUACUACGAAGAUCGUGAAAAAGCUGAAUGAAGAUGGAGAAACAACAACUGAGGAGACCAGCACUGCCAGUGACCCAGUGACAGUCCGAGAACUUUCGCCAGCUUUUUCAGAAGUUCCGAGCGAUACUUCAACCACAUCCAGCCAAAUCGAUGGUGCAAUUAUCAAAACUACGACGAUUCGAACGAUGCGCAUAACAAAGAGGAUUUCCAAUGACGGACGUAUUCAUCUUACGGAAAGCGAGACACCAAGUGAUGUGAUCGUGACUUCAAGCAUUGAGAUGCCCGAUCAAAGACCAAUUAGUCCACUGAUUUCCUCGAGGUCAACCUCCCCUGCUGUGACGCCUAGUUCCGAACUUAAGCUAGAUAAUUUGGGUGCCAGUAUUCAGUUAGGAUUGAAAGACAGUCCGACAGGGGUCAAGGUUAUUGGCAUUGAAACAAGCACAGUGGAUUUGCCGAAGCUUGCUGAACAGCAAGUUGUUACAAGCAAGACUAAUGGGGCCAUUAACGAGACGGAUAGUAUUACCACUACUACGACGACUACCAAGAACACGAUACUAACGACUACGCAACGACGAAGCUUCGAAACCGAAGAUGGCACAAAUGUUCUUUUCGUGGGAGAAGGCAUUGACGGUGCAUAUCCACCAGGCACAGUUCAAAAAAUUUCCCUUAUUACCCAUGAAGAGAAGCUGAAGACACCUAUUGUGAAAAUGCAUCUUGAUUUUCCGGAGGUUAGUCUUCGGGUGACCGAGACUGUGACUGAAAAUGUGGAAUCCCUGCAAAGAGCAGCCGAAAGUAAUGAAAAUUCCGUGAUUGAAGUAGUUGAAUUGUCCAAGUCUGAAGUUCCAGAACCAAUAGAAUUGAAGCCAGAUCCCAUUCUUAAGAUAGAUGAUCAUUCUACCAAUUUAGACGAACUAAAAGCGACCCCAACAGUUUUACCCGAUAGUAAUACUGCAGAACUUAGCCGUGAAGAGCAGAAACUUUUCGAGGACAUUCAAAAGAAAUUGUCUAAGAAAGAUAAAAAGAAGCGCCCCGCCAUUCCUGAAGAGUUUAUUAAGCAAGAAACGGUUCAGGUCAUUUUAGAAGAAAGCAAAGGUAACGAGGCUCCUAUUGUUGUCUCAGUAGUUGAAAAACUUACAGAUGUCGUUGAAUCCUCAGUUAAGAAGGACCCUAUUGCCCCGACUGUAGAAGUAGAAAUAGUUUCCGAAGCACCCCUUGUUUCAACAACUGAUGACGUCGAUGUAGAUACUAAGCCGAUCCCUGUUCCAGAGGCAGAGAAAUUGCUUCUCAACAUUUCUGAAGACUCGUCCCUAAUCUCAAGCUUUAAGUUAAUCGAACAAAACAAUUCCGAUAUUCUUUACCAUGAGUCAAUAGCAGUUGUCCCUGUUUCCACCCAAGAAGAAGUGCCAGUAGAAAAUCCAUGUGAAACUCAGUCAAGUCCUCCUCCUACUAAUAUCGCUAAUGAAAUUGUUCCUGAUAAACCAAGCGCAUUAAUUGCUGAAGCAUUUGUGGCUAACACGGAUCUAAUUACGCAAGAGCUCGACGAACUGCUCCAAUCGCUUUCGAGCGUCGAGGAUGGCAUCGCCAACAUGAACCAGAGCAGCUUGGAUGGCAUGCUACACGGAUUGAAGCUAAUCCAGAGCAAUCUCGAAGUACACGAAAGGGACGCCAUCGAGUUAAAGAACCAGGCAAAGACAUUGCCCACAGAUCCGGCCACCGAACGUUUGCUGAACGACACCGUGGACCGUAUUGACCUACUACUACGCCGCACUCAGCAAGGCAUCACCAUGAUAGCGAAUGCUAUGCAUGGUCAGAAGAAGCGCCAGCAGGAGAUCGACGAGUACCAGCAACAUCUGCUGGAGCUGGAGCAAUGGAUCAUCGAGGUUUCCGCCGAACUGGCUUCCUUUGAGCCCACCUCGGACAGCAGUACGGAUGAGCAGGUGCUCAAGUCGCAGGUGGAGAGAAGCCAGCAGUUGCUGCGCACCCUCAAGGAUCGCCAGCAGUCCAUGGAGGAUUUGGUGGAACAGACGCGUCAGCUGCAAUCCCAUCCCGAUGUUGCACCCCUGGCGGACACGCUGAUGGAGCAGCUGCAGAGUAUCAUUACCAUACUGCGGGAACAGGUCACAGUGGCCACCAAGCGCAUCUUUACCAUUGAAAAGCGCAUCGUGGACUUGCGAAAGGCGAAGAGCGAGGAGGCGCAACGCCAGCGUGUGCUGGCUGAUUCACUCAUCAAGCCACCAACAGAAGUCCCAGCGGGUCCAGAGGCGCAUGAAUCCAUCGAGUCCAACGAGAACACCAUCGACUCGAGCUCCAUGCCCGAAGAGGAGAUCAAACCGACUGGAGUGUAUGUGGAGACACAGACAUCGCUCAGCCUGCAGCAACCCCCGGUUCAGGUGGUGACCACCACGACUGUGGAGGCGCAGACCAGCUUCAAGGAGCCAGCUGUAGAGACCGCAGAGGUGGCUCUGCAAACCCAGAAGGAGCGUUCGCCCACCGAGAACAUUAUGGUAACGCAAACGGUGCAGCAUGGCCAGGAAACGAUCCAGAUCGACACGACUCGCAACAAGGAUGUGCCCGAUGAGCCCGAAGAUGUCCAGAUUGAGGCUCGUUAUCAUCAACGCCCUAAGGGCGAUGUCGACCGCGCCACCGAGUUGAUCCUUAAAAAUGUGCCUCAAGCAUUCGAAACCACUUUCGUGGAGCCGGAUGAGACGACCACCGAAGUGAUUGUGGGACCCGAUGGCACCAAACACAUAGUGCUCAAGAAAGUAACCCGAACCCGCCAGCAAGUUGUACAGCAGCAGCAGAUUAGCUCAAUCGAGACAAUUAGCGAUUCGGAUGGCAACAUUGAGGUUCACUCCACAGGUCAGAUUAAUUUGGAGAAUGUGCACACCACGGACACCAAAGCUGAUCCGGAGGAGGGCAGUGUCCACACAGUAAUCACACAGCAAACACGUGGUGCUGUUGUGGAUUCAUCGCAGCCCGAGGGCGUGAUCCUACAAGAAUUCGAAACCGAGCCCACUAUUGAGACAUACGAAGAAGUGAUUGCCCCAGGCUCCCAGGCGCAACUGAUUUCCAUGCAGCCAGGAGAUGUGCAGACCCAAGGCACCAUCCGAGCAGUAGUCCAGCAGGUGACCCGUAAGGUGAUCCGUAAGACGCGCAAGAUAAUCAAGCGGGUGGUGAUCAUCGACGGCAAGGAGCACAUCACUGAGGAAGUGGUCGAGGAGCCAGAGGAAGUGGAGAUCACAGAGGAGGAGACAGCACCGCACAUCAAUGUAAAUAUUGUGCGAACCGUUGACGGAAAGGUGGUGAGUGAGGAGGAGUUCCAGCGAAUGAUGCAGGAGCCCGGAGUUCUAAUCGAAGAAGUUGCCACGGAUCUGCAAAAGCAGACGACGGCAGAGCCGCAGCAAGAGGUAUUUGAUAUUGAGUCUACCCAAGUCACAACCACCACAAGAACUACAACCGCAACCACACAAGAACAAGAACAGCCAGAACAACAGACACAACCAACAACAGAAACGACCAAAGAAGCACCAGUAGAGUUGCCAGCACCUCAAGUAGAUGUUGAACAACCCGUAGUAGUUGCCACUACCAGUCCCGUUCAUGUUCCAACAGCGGAUGUAGUCGAGCCCAACGACGCCUCGCCGACUGUAGAAGUCGAAGCAGUGGUUGAAGAUAUCAACGAGAUUUGGCCACUGGAACAUCACCUAAAACCCACCAACAUUGACUUCUCCCAGCACAUCGAAGAAUUGGCAGCACCAGCGACCACAGUAGAGACUGAAGCCUCCAUGCCAGUAGAGGAAAUUUGGCCGACAAGCCCAGAGACCGGAAACUCAUUGACCCUGGAGCACUAUGAAUUCGAGCCACAAUCCCCCCAUGAAGAGAGCACAAAAUCUGAUCUAGUUAAGCCCCAAGAGACUGAACCGCAAGCUGUUGCUGAAACCAAGCCAGAAGCCAUUACCACUGGAAGUAUUACCAUUACCAAGACUACAACCACCAUCACAAGCUCGACAGAAAUACCGGAGGAAACUCUUGCCCACAAUUUGCCAGCAGAUGAACAACAGCCUCCUGCAUCCAAAAUCAAGACUGACAUUAACAGUUUCCUUGUAGCCGAACAGACUUUGGCCGCAGCUCUUCAGGAGCAGUCUUCAACUCCCACCGAAGCAUCGGUUGUUGAAGAUGUAAAGGAAAUUGUUCAGCCCAAAGAAAUUGUUCUUGAAGAGAGGACUGUUGAAAUUUCAACCAUCAAGACUGAAGAGAAUCAAGAAACACCAGUUACAGUGGAGGAAGUGAAAUCACUGCCCGCAGAGCCUGAACCAGAAGAUUCCGAGCUGAAGGAAGUGGCCAUUGACAUUGUUGAGCAGACUGACCAAAAGCCAGAAGAACUCGUUGUGGGUACACAACCAACACCUGGUCAAAUCGACUUGCGUGCCGCCACUCAACUCUUCAUCUCUGGAGAGGCCGCAGCUUCAGCGGCACCACAGAAAACCUUCCAAAUUACAGCACCCUCUCUGGAGGACAAUGGCGCUGGCGUGCUGAAGGUUGUCCUGGGCAAGGAAGAGGAUACCGCAUCUCCAACCACCGGCAAGGUUAGCAUGACCAUCAUUGAGACCGCUGCUGCUCCCGUCGCCGACGCCAAGCGGCGUCGAAAGAAAAAGAAGAGAAGAGAUACAAAGCACGAGGAGGAGCUCGAGCAAGAACAAGAGACUGAGCCGGAAGCCGUUGCCGUUCAGGAGCCUGAGGUGAGCUCUGAUGUGCCCGUUUCUCCGGAGGAUUCUCCACGCGAUACCGUUCGCCAUGAGUCCAUAGUUGAGAUUAGCCCCGAUAGCGAUUUGUCCAGCAUUGAGACGGACACGAAGGUGAAGAUUGUGGAGGAUGCCGUUGUUUCUUCACCAUCGGAGUCGCCACGAGCGCCAAUGGUUGAGCUGGUCAUUCCCACUGAAGUGGUUGAGUUGGCUUUGGUCGAGGAUGAGGAACAACAGACAACACCACGAGUUCCCUCGCCCACUGAAAAAUCGGAAGUCGAACAGGAUAUAAAGUCCGUGCAGACUUCGCCACAGCAUCAACCCACCCUGGAUGAGACUGCAGUGCAGACGAGUCUGGAGGUGCAGCCCGAUAACCAGGAGAAUGAAUCGCAAACACUGAUCGUGGAGAUAACGGAGACUGAAGCACAAACCACUCCCAGAAAUGAGGAGCAGCCUGUGGCUGUGGAAAUAUCCACCACUGAGAUUCAAACCGAUGUGAGUGGCCAGCCAGCUGAAACUGUAGAGAUUUCCAGCCAAACAACAGUAACCACCACCAUCGAGAAGGAACUGCAGACCACUCCAAAGGAUUCUCCUCGCGCACCAGAGGCAGGCAGCAGUGACGUGGUGGAAUCUCUGGUGCAGGACUUGGUUAAGGAUAUGACUACCGAUCUGCCAGUUCGUACAAGCGAACAGUCUACCGUGACUGAGACCACCACAACCACGGAGACCCAUGUGCAGACAGCCACUCCGGAGCCAAGGGAACCAACUGAAGACAUAAGACCGGAAACUGUCCAUGAAGAGACCUCAACCCUGGAACUUGUGCAGGUCGCUGAUGGUGAGAUGCAAACCACGCCUCGUGGAGAUGAGCAGCCCGUAUCUUUGGAUGAUACCUCACUGACAGCCACAUCGAUAUCCGUUUCGGAACCCUAUGAACUGGAGGUCAAGACUACGGUGGCCAUUCCCGCCGAUUCUGAUACAUCCGUGGCUGAGCCGACGGUCUAUGAAUACACGCAGACCAUGCAGCUGCCCAAGCAGGACAAGAAAUCCAAGAAGGACAAGAAAAAGAAGCAGAAGAAUGUGCCUGAAGUGGAGCAGCAGCUGCCAGAGGAGCCACAGAUCAGUGUGACCGUUGAAAUCGCACCUGAGUUGCUAACAGAGUCAGGUAUUGUGGUAUCCACUAACCAGCAGAUUGAAGAUGUGCCUCAUGUAACACCCGUGGUGGAGACUGCCAUCGAAUCCGAAGAAGUGGAAACGCCCAAAGCUCAACGAGUGCAACUUCAAAUCACCAAGACCACUGUAUACGAUGAGUAUCCCGAUCUGCCAGUGCAUAUUACUGAGCAGAACAAGGUCUUGAUUGCGUCCCAGCAGAGCAAACGAUCCGGAGCAGGACCCACAUCCUCAGCGGUGACCAUCGAAGAGGUGGGCUCACCCACGGAGGAGCUGGUGGUGCCCAUCACCCCGGGACCAGACAAUCUGAGUGGCGAGCCCCAAAACAUUUGGUUCAGUGCCACCACCAGUGUGGAUAAGACACCCAUUGAACUCUCCCAGGCUCUGAUUAUGAGCGAGAGUUUGCAGCACUAUCCAGGACAACAGCAACUGACCAACCAGCAGCCAAUCCUGAUUUCCACCAAGGAGGCCAUUGGCGAUCGCAUCAAGCAGCUCAAGCAGGCGACGCCCCAACAAGCCACUCCCCUGAGCAAUGUGCUCCACUUGGCCACCUUAUCGGAACAGAUUAAGGAACUGCCCACUGAGCAACGCAUCUUGGAGGUCAACGAAGGUCUCCAGGAUCUCGAUGUUGCCAUUAAAAAUGGUGACAAGACUGUGAUUCAAACCACUGUCAUCACGGUCAUCGAGAAGGUAUCAACUUGGUUGGAAACCAUCGAGUAUCGCGUCUACCUCAUCAGGCAGAACUCCAAUGAGGGACCCUCCGAAGAGAAGCUGGACAACUAUAACCAACUCAACGACGAGCUUAGCACGAUCAAGCAAAAUGUCGGCCAGCUGGAGCGACAAUUGUCCAAGGCUGAACCGGAACCAGAGUUGCUGCAGUGCGUGGAUAGCCUAAAGGAGCAUGUGGAUGCAGUGGAGCAGGUGACACAACAGAACCAGGUGCAGGACAGCAAUGAUCUGGACAAGUGGCACAGCUUCGAGGUACUUCUGUACAGCGUGUCCGCCGUCUUGGCCGAGCUGCAGCAGAGCUACGAUCUUUUGAUCAAUCAGGAGUAUCCCUUGUCCGCCAAACUGGCCCAGCUGGACGAGUUGGAGCAGCAGCACGAGGCGGCACAGCAGCAACUUGCGCAGCUCUGUCAAAAUGCUCGAGCUUUCCAGCGCGAUUUCCCAGGCAAGAAGAUGCCGCAGGAUGUGCACAAUGCCUUCGAGACCAGCAAGAAUAUUGCCAACAACAUUCAGGCAGAGCGUGAGCGUGUCCUUCAACUUCAAUCCCUGGCGGAGGAGUACGAGCAGACCCUCAAAGAGUUCACCAAAAUCACGGUUCUUGCCGACAAGCUGGUGGAGAGUCCAAUUGUUUCCAGUUCCCUCGAGCAGCUAAACAACGAGGUGCAGAAACAGCGGAAGUUCUUCGUAAAUCUCAGCCACUGUCGUGCCAUGUUGGAGUCCCUGGAGGAGAACAUCGAUAGUGAGACCCGCGAGAAGCACUCGGAAUUGCACAAGGAGCUCUACAACAGGGCUACCAGUCUGCUGGACAAGGCAUCCGAAAGGUCCUCCAAACUGGUGCAGGCUGCCUCCCGGUGGACUGUGCUGGAGAAGGGCAUGCGAGAUGAGCUCCAAUGGCUCCAGGUGGCACAGCAACGAGUUCCCGACUUAUCUGCCGUAACUUCCGCCGACUACGAUCAAUAUACCACCCUGUACCAAUCCCUGAGCAAUGAUAUCUCACAUCACUACGUGAAGAUGACACAGCUUUCGGGAAUUGCCAACAAGUUGCAGCAUUUGGUGCAGGCUCCCAAUCUCGUAGAGGAAACCAAUGAGGCAUUGAUAGUGCUGCUCAAACUGCGCGAGGAGGUUGCUCUCUACCUUCACCGCCUUCUGGUCUUCAAGGAAAUCUGGGUGCAGUACGAACAGCAAACGGAUAAACUGGAGGCCUUUGUACGCGAAGCAGAGCAGGAACUGAGGAACAUUCAGAUACCCUCGCAGCCCACACACCAGCCCAUCGAGCACAUGCGUCAAUUCUGGGAGAUCAAGGCCCGCUUCGAGCUCCACAAUAAUGUGCGAACCGAUACGGGUCUGAGCUUUGAGAAAUCCCUGCAGGUCAUUCCAUUGGCCGACGAGAUGCUUCAGCGGCAGUUCCAUGCCCAACUGGAGGAUCGCUGGCAGGCCGUGGCCCAGGCCAUCGAGCUCAUUCAGCACAACAUUGUAGAGUGCCUGUCGUCGGAGGAUGUGCCCGCGGACGAGAAACUCAAGAUGGUGGAGCGAGAGCUGCAGGAGAUCUACCUGACCAUGACCAGCAUGAAGGGUGUCAUCAAGAACGAGGAGGAGCUCUGCCUGUACAUCGAACGAGUCCAAGUACUACGCACUCGCGUCGGAUUCAUUGGCAACGAGCUGGGCAGGAUUGGACUUCAGGAGCCCGCCAUUGAGCCGGAAAAAGUGGGUGAGCUAUUCGCGCUCUCUCACAAGAUAAGCACCCAGAUUGCCGAGGAGCUGGAGGGUGCAUCUGUGCUGCGUGACCAACUGCAGGCCAUCCAGGAGGGUAUUAGCAAUCAACGCAAACACCAGGCCAAGAUCUCGGUCAUACUGGAUGAAUGUGAAGCCGCCGAGCGCCAAGGAGCAGAUGUCCUCGAAAAGGCCGUCGCCGAUUGCCAGGCCGCCGGCGAGGAGCUGGUCAUCAGCUGGCAGGAGAUUAUGCGAAUCCGCCAGAUGCUCCACACCCUGCCCAUGCGCCUCAAGAUGUCCGUUUCCCCAGUCAAAUUGGAGAGGGACAUCUCCCAACUGCAGGACGACCACGCCUUCCUCGAGAGCAAGUGCACCAACAUUAUGGCCAUCCUGCGAAGCCGACUGGCCGUCUGGCUGCGCUACGAACGUCAGCUGGAGCUGGUCCACGGAUCCGUCCAGGAAACCGAUUUCAUGAUGGAACUCAUCCGGGUGCACGGUCAAGUCGACUACGAGCGCCUGCGCAAAGCCACGGAACGUUUGGAGGGACUGGCUGGCGAUCUGCAAAACCGCGAGCAACUGAUCGAUGAGCUGAAGGGUGCGGCCAAGCCGCUGAUCGAGAGCUGCGAUGUCCAGAUUGUCGAGCAGAUCGAGUCCGCUGUCCAGGAGGCGGUAGUCGCCUGGCAUGACACCAGUGAGAAUCUGCAGCAGCUGCGAACCCGCUACCAACGAGCCGUCGAACUGUGGGACAAGUACCGCAACGCCUCAGCGGCCGUCAAGAACUCCAUUGACCAGCAGAUGGAUACGGUCAAGUCCCUGGAGCAGCCCCUGGAUGCCCUGCAGCACGCCAAGGUAUGCCAAGACAACCUGACGACCCAGAAUGACAGAAUCUUGGAGCUGCGCGACAUUGUGGCCAAGAUCGCCGCCGAUGUGGGCCUGGAUGCCUCGGCCCUCAUGCAAGGUGAACUGGAUGCACUGGGCCAGCGGUUGGCCGAGUGCAAGGAUGCCAUCACCACGCUGGCCAACGUGGCCGAGACGCAGGACAAGGAGCGCAAGGAGCUCGACAAGGAGGUGACUCUGGCCAAGGCCUACUUCAACAAUGUGCAGCAGGACAUUUCCCGAGAGGUGCCGCAAAAUCCCAAGGAGAGCGAGGAGCAGCUGGCCGCGUUGCGAGCCCAUCUCCAGACUUUGGCACGAACGGAAGAGCAGCUGCGUCAGCUGAAGGAGCGCCAUCAGAACAGCAGCGAAGUAGCACCAUCGGCGACUGGCAGCGAUGACGAUGGCAUCCUGGAGGUGCUUGCCCUGUGGCAGAAGAUCUUCCAGGACACCUUCCAGGAGUACCAUCGCCUGUCCACGCGACUCGCCCGCAGCCAAAAUAGCUCGGAGGCGCUGCGAUUGUGGCGGCAGUACCUGCAGCACGUCCAGUCCUUCCUGUCCUGCUCCAUUCCCGAGGAUUACAGCAGCCUGCGAGAGCAGCAGCAGCUGUGCGCCAUCCACCAGAACUUGCUCAUCUCGCAGCAGAGUGUGCUUUCCGAAACCCCACUGGAAUCGGAGCUAUCGGAGCAGUACAAGGCACUGACCAACCUGCACAAUGAAACGCUCUCGCGGAUCAUGCAGCGAAAUGGUGAGCUGGAGAGGCGUGUGAGUGGCUGGAAUGCCUACCGCCAGCAGCUGGCUGCCCUUUUGGACUGGCUGCGUCAGAGGGAAGCGGAGCGCCAUGCCCUCCAACUGCGCUACAUUCACCUGAAGCGAGUGCCCCACCUGAAGCACCGCUUGGAUGCGAUGAUCCAGCAGCUGGAGCAGGGAGAACAGCAGAGCAAGGCUUUGCAGGAGCAGCAGCAGGAGCUGGCCAGGCACUGUGACGACGCGCUGGCCACCGCCAUGCGAAUGGAGCAGGCCAGCAUUGGCCAGCGGAUCAGCAAUCUGCGUGCGGCCCUUAAGACCUGGCAGGGAUUCCUGCAGCGCGUCACCCAGCUAUCGGAAAGCUACGAGCAGCGAGUAAACCAAUUGCAACAGGAAUUCGGUGCAGCUCAAAGGCUUUUGGAUGCCAAUAGCGAGUCCCUGCCCACUCAACCAGCGGCGAUUGAGCAACUUUUGGGAUCCCUACGUGCGCAGAGGGUACAACUUGGUGCCCAAGUCUCCGCUCUGGAGAGUCUGACUGUGACCCAGGAGGAGCUCAAGGAGUGCAUCAGUCCGCACGACAUGAAGACCAUUCGCCAAAGGAACUGGCUGCUCUGGCAGCAGCUCGCCGAUCUGGACUACCAGCUGGCCAACCUGAUCAACUCCAUUGAGGAGCGGCUUUCCCUACUGUCCAACUAUCAAAUCAGAUACGAUCGCAUCUCCCAGUGGCUGCAACGUUUGGAACAGCGUGUGGAAAAGGAUGCGGAUGUCACGGCCAUGACCAAUCCCGAACAGGCAGCCAAGCAGCUGGAGCAGCAAGUUAAUUCCGAGCUGCAACUGCGGGACAAGGAACGGGAGUGGCUUCUAUCCACCAGCAGGGAACUGCUCACCCUCUACUCCGAGCCGGAAGUGCGGUCCCAGGUGCAACAGCAGAGCGACUCCCUCAUCGAUCGCUGGCAGCGUCUCAAGUAUUUGGCCAAGCAGAAGGCCACCAAGAUAGGGGAGCUCAAGAUGACACUUCUCCGGUUGGAGGAGCGCAUCGCCCUGAUCCGCGCCUGGCUUUUCGAGGUGGAAUCCCAACUGGACAAACCCUUGAAUUUCGAGAGCUACACACCGAAUGUGAUCGAGGCCAAGCUAAAGGAGCAUGAGCAAAUCCAACGCUCCAUUGAGCAUCACAGCAGCAAUGUGGGCGAGGUCCUAAAUCUCGUAGAGAUGCUCCUCAACGAUGCGGACAGCUGGCGCACGCAGGUGAACACUUCCGGAUUAGCGGCAUCAGCUCAGAAUCUGGAGCAGCGCUGGAAGAACGUGUGCAGCCAGUCGGCGGAGCGCAAGGCUCGCAUCCUGACCAUUUGGAAUCUUCUCCAGCAGCUGAUCAAACUCACGGCCGAGCACAAGAACUGGCUGGGAAAACAAGAAAGCCAAAUUGCCGGCUUUGAACGAGAUCAGAAGUCCAACAGCAAGCAAAAGCUGGAGGAGCGCCAGAAGGAACUGAGAGCUAAGCUGGAGGAGCUGGAAAGCCAGUCGGUGAAUCUUCGCCAGCUGGAGCAGAUCUAUGCCAAGCUAACCAUGAGCGCCGGCGUCGAGCCGGAGAACAUCCAGAAACUGACGCUGCCCACCAAGGUAAUGGUGAGCAUGUGGCGCCAGUUGACACCACGCUGUCAUGCCCUAUUGGAUGCCAUCGACAAGGAUGCCAAGCUUAUGCGCGAGUUCAACAAUGCCCAACUGGAGGCCACCAACUCUCUGAAUGCCAUACAAAAGGCUUUGGAACAACUGCCAAGCGUGGAGGAUCAGCAGACCUCCAAGGCGCAGCCCAAAGCGGUGCUCCAACGAUUGGAGAGCCUGGAAAAGAAGCUGCAGGACGCCCAACAGCAUGUCCAGCAGGCGGAUAGCCUGGCCCAGGAGGCCAAGACCAGGACCAAGCAGCAGCCCCAACUGAAGCAAUUGCUGGAACUUGUGUCCGCCUACACCACCCUCUGGCAAACGGUCCACACCCGCAUUGUGACCCUCAAGACCACGUGGCUGACCAGAGCAGCACAGGCAGCCGCCGCGCUGCCGGUCAAUGAAGCAGCCAAUGCCGCCGUCCAGGUAAACACCCUGUCCCAGCGGAAACUUCGGCAGGCGCAGCAGAUGCAGAGGGAAACCUCCAUCACGGCCAAGGAUGCGUACAUCAUGGAACUGCAGACGGCGAUCACGGAGUGCCAGAGCAAUCUGGACGAGCUGCAGCGCACGGUGGUGGACAAGACCCGCAAGCCGGGACCCCAGAAGAUAGCCAAGCUGCUGGGCAACGCGCAGUCAUCCACCGAGCUGGUGAAGCAUCUCAGCCAUCUGCUGCUCACCGAGUGCAAGGCGGAUGACCAGGCUGCCGAGGUGGACACCGUGGCAGAGCUCACGUUGCGCUUCGAUACACUGCAAUCGCAGUGGAAGGCGCGACAGCAGCACGAUCAAAAUGCAAGGUGCCACCUACCUGCGUCCUACAAGUACAACUGCAUCCACGAGGUCGGCCGGCUAACGUGUCCGCUCUGCACACAGCGAAACUGGCAGCAGAUCGACAACGAUCUGUGGCGCCUCGAGCAGUGGCUGCAGUUCGCCGAGAGCACCCAGAAGGCCCAGUCAGCCCCGCCCUCGAAUAUCGAGCUGCUCGAGGACGUCACGCAGGACCAUCGCGAGUUCCUGCUGGAUCUGGAGAGUCACAAGUCCAUCAUAUCGUCGCUGAAUGUGGUCGGUGACCAUCUGGCCACGCACACUUUGGAUACCGAAAAGGCGAGGCAACUGCGAUCGCGUCUGGAGGCGGACAAUGAGCGCUGGAACAAUGUGUGCAUCAAUGCUACCAAAUGGCAGGGUCUGCUGCAGACCGCCCUGAUGGGCAACAGCGAGUUCCAUCAGACCAUCGAUGAGCUGGUGGAGUGGCUGCAGCGCACGGAGCAGAACAUCAAGGCCUCCGAGCCCGUCGAUCUCACCGAGGAGCGCUCCGUGCUGGAGGGCAAGUUCAAGAAGUUCAAGGAUCUGCGAGCCGAGCUGGAAAGAUGCGAACCUCGGGUGGUCAGCCUGCAGGAUGCCGCCGAUCAGCUGCUCCGCUCCGUCGAGGGCUCCGAGGAGCAGUCCCAACACACCUACGAGAGAACCCUUUCCAGAUUGACCGAUCUCCGGCUGCGCCUCCAAUCCCUGCGUCGUCUAUCCGGCAUCUAUAUCGUCAAACUGGGCGCCGUUCUCGGUUACGAGGGCGACAACCUCGGCGUGCCACUGCACAUGUUGUCCAGUGAGCUUUUGGAUAAUACUACAUUAUCAACCUCUUCUAUGCAGGCCGCCGCACCCAACACAGAAAAUGCAAACAACACCGAUGGCGGCGAUGCUGUCGAUGGCGAUGUCAUCAAUACCACGGUUCUGGCACGCGGUGCACGAUUCCUAGGCCGCGUUGCACGUGCCUCGCUGCCCAUUCAGGCGCUCAUGCUGCUGCUGCUAGGUGUGGCCACCCUGGUGCCCCACGGUGAGGACUACACCUGUAUGUUCUCCAACACCUUCGCCCGCAGCCUGGAGCCCAUGUUGUCGUAUCCCCACGGACCGCCACCCACGUAAGGCUGUCGAGUUGCAAUUGGAUUAGUGCAAUGAAACAAACAAGAAAACCCUAAACCCAACAUAGGUACUAAGCAAAAACCCCAGAGCCCAGAUUUGAAGAUGCCUUUUGUAAGCUAAAUUUCAAAGAGAGAUCCUGGGCAGCACGAAAUUGCGAUCAGUAUCCUGCGAAUUUCGUGGAACAUUUUUGCAGGACACAAUCUCAAGUUCCCGCUGCUGGCGAUGGUCUAGACAAGCAAACGAAUCCCAAGACAAAUCAUGACCCACAUAGACCAAUGGCCUGAAGAUCUGCUUGGUGACCCAUGUCCCCAGCUUGCAGCGCGUCCUUCUCCCAAACUCAGGGCGAUGCUGUCAACAGGAGGCACAGGCCGCCAUUUGGACUCCGGCUCCUAAGAAGCCCCCCUGUCAAAGGAUCCUUCUGCCCAAGGCCAAGAUCUCUCCCACGGCCAAGGGAUAGAUGAGAUAACAGCCAGUGCGCCAGCCACAGGACACUGUGUUCGCAUCCAAUCCUUAAACCCCAUCCGGACAUUGGGGGGCUAGACAUUUCAAAGCAUUCCUCUUACUCAUUUCCAAAUUACCAAUAGACUUUGACCAUCGAAGCCACGACUCUCGAUAAUAAAAAUGGAAAACGUGCGUGCCACGAGCAUUGAACAAAACGAAGCAAGUGUCCUAUGCCGGUGCUAAACCAACCUACAAAUUUUCUGUAUAAAGAAAAAAUGUAAAAUGCGUAUACAAAAAAAUAAAAAGAAAUACAUGAAAGAAGAGAUUAAUUCUUUGCAAAAAAAAAAAACGUAAACGUAAAAUGCAAUUUGCAAUUUGCAUAUUGACAAGUGACGUAAGUCCAUCCAGUAAAAAUACCUAUUAUGUUGUUAAUAUUUUUUGAUAAACCUAAUUAUAUUUGCCUUAUACUUAUCCAACUUGUUUAUUACAACUAUUUUUUAUUAUUUAACGCUUGAGCAAUUAUUGAAAAAAUACAUACAUUUAUUUAGUAGGCCUAUGAACGAUUUACUAUGUAUAAAAUUAAGUUUGAAUUAAAUGUUAAAUCUGUGUACUUUGCUGCUUUUCUCUGGUUAUGAAAUUAUUAGCCGUUGACAAGUUAAUAUAAUUUAUGUAGCAUUUUAAGAUUUCCUUUCUUGUGAACAACUGUACCUUUAUAUGCAUU
rnacentral:misc_RNA from 1 species